rnacentral:lncRNA from 1 species
AUCAACCGCCUAUCUAUAGGCCGCCGUUGCACGAGGCGCCGUCGGGGAGCUCUUCUUUUUACCAAUCUCCAUCGCCUUAUAGGAUUCAAACACCUCCGCAAUCAUUAUUCUAUCAAGGUGGCUCAUUCUCCCAACACCCACAACUAGAUCUCCAGCCGGAUGAACCACAAUCCCUGCCGGAGCAACCAGAACCCUCUCCGGAACCUGAAUCAAGGAGGAAUCCAGCGCGUAACCGUCGACGACACCUAUGUGGCACUGAUUCCGACUGACACCAACAUUGAUUUUUUUAAUAUACUUGUAUAAAAUUUUUUAUAUUCUUUCAUUUAAUAAAAUAAAAGUUGUUUUUAAUAUUUUAAUUAUAAUUUACUCUUUUAUAUUUGUAAUAAAAUAAAAGUUGUUUUUAGUAUUUUAAUUAUAAUUUACUCUUUUAUAUUUGUAAUAGAAUAAAAGUUGUUUUGAAUAAGGAAAUAUUUUUAAUGUUUUCCAUCAUUUUAAUAAAAUGUAAAUAAUGCAACAUAAUUUUAUUAAAACAACUAUUAGCUAUUUCGUUUGGACAUGAUCGAGUUGUAUAGCCUGGGUUCUUACACCAUCCGCACAACUUGUGUUGGUUGGUUGUUUCUCGAAUAUCCAUAUUGUUACGUUUUCUAGUCGAGCAAGGUCGACCCUUUAGUUUACGACACAAAUCUCUAUUCGGUAACAACUUAAACGGAGCAAGCGAUACAGACGGCCAUUUACGUUCAUCAAGGACCGGUGGGAAUACGUGUCUCCACAUGUUGUACAUGUAUUCUAUUUUGUACACUUCGUCGACAUAGCUCAUGGGAUUCAGACGGAGAUUCUAACAAGCUGCAAUUACAUGAGUGCAUGGACAACGAAGUGCGUCAAACCUCCCACAGUCGCAGGUCCUAUUUGUCAAGUGCACACGAUAUUGCCCGCCAACAAUACCUUGGUUCAGUCUGUCAAACUCCGUCACACGAAACCAUAGGUUGUCGCGAUCGUGACACACUGUGUGCAUGGUGUUGGCCUGAGCCUUCGCCUUGUUAAUUUCUUGCAAUACCUUCGCGCACCAUACAUGGCCUCCCUGCAUUUUGCCUUUAUACCUCGCUACUCGCUUCGGAAAUAGUGCUGCUAAACGAAAAUACGUCUCUCUCACAACCGAUGUUAUCGGCAAAUGACGCAUUCCUUUUAGAACAAAAUUUAUGCAUUCAACCAAGUUUGAGGUCAUUUGACCAUAUCGUAAGCCACCAUCGUAUGCUUGUGUCCACUGUUCGAAAGGUAUGUUACAGAGGUAGUCAUGGCCUUAUUUAUUAACUAAACGUAAAUCGCCAACAUAUCAUGAAAACAGUCCUUAUUUAUCUUAUACCCUGCGAAUAUAAGAUGAUAGCAAAAAUUACAUACCACUCUUCCAUUCAAAAUAAAUUGAAUAUUACAAAAGAAAUUAUAUUAGUAAAGAUUAAAUACCUAUGUUGGUCACUUGUCGUUGUUCACUUGUAGAUCGAAAUUGCCCGUAAUAGUUUGACGUAAUGUGCCUUAGGCAAUACCGAUGGUGUGUGCGAUGCCAUAGGCUACCCUGACGCUCAAUUGAGGCUAGUAUUCCGGUGCCCCGAUCCGAUAUAACACAAAUAUCAGGUUGGGGGCAGACAUGCCUCCUUAGCCUAGAAAGAAAGAAUUCUCAGUCAUCAGCUGACUCUUCCGAUGUUAUUGCAAACGUAAUUGGAAGGAUUCUCCCAUUGCCAUCUUGUGCCACAGCUAGCAGUAGUCGAUGGGUAUAUCUACCAUACAUAAAUGUACCGUCAAUUUGUACCAACGCCUUGCAGUAUAGAAAUGCAUCUCGGCAUUGCUUAAAGCUCCAGAACAGACGCUUGAACACUUGGCAUCCACAGAGCAAUCGGUCGUUGUAGUACGUAGGUGCCAUUUCAAGGUCUAUUGUGCAACCUGGACAUAUCUCUCCAGCACCUGACACCACUGCCACACUUCAUUAUAUGAAGCAUCCCACCCACCAUGCAUCUUUUCCAAUGCCUUUUGCUUAGCUAUCCAAGCCUUGCAGUAAGAGGGUGUGUACCUCAAUUGGCUACGAAUAUUGGCAAUUAAGACCAACACUGAAGUCCUGGGAUCUGCCUUCACCGUCGGUAGUAUUAAGUCAGCUAACAUAUCUGAAUCCAUCUUUGGAUUAUCUUGUGAAACACCUGUAAACAAAGUACAUUAAAUAAUGCAACAUUACGUAAUAACAAUAUUAUUCAGAAACCCUAGAAGUUUAGUGAAAUUGUACCGCCAACACAUGUAUGUGGACCUUUGUACUUUUUAAUCUCCCACAAGCAUGUCUUUUUCCUCAACGAGGCCAUAAUUUUCCAUGAACAUGUGUUGUCUUUCACUGCACACUUGGCCUCAAACUUAUCGGUUUUGGAUUUAACCACGUUGUAGUUAACCCUGUCUAUGAUGCUAUGUUGUUUCAAUGCACCUAGAAAACUAUCUUUAUUGGAAAACACCUUACCAACUUCUAGUUCACCCGAAUCCAAUGAUGAACUUGUACGGUCACGCCUUCUGUGUGGUAGAUCUGGAAACUCCAAAGCAACAUCUUGAGAUAGAUCGACAUUAUGCAUGUGGGCUGGAGGCGAGUACGUCAUGAAUUGUGGAUCUUCUUCUUCUUCAUCUGAACUACCUUCAACAUCUUCAGGUAUGGUUGGAGUAGGCUUCGGUUCAGAAAAUAAUGUAACUUCUGCACCAUUGGGCCCGGGCACUCGAGGUGGAUCCACAUCGGACUCAUCAUCCGACCCACCAUCAUCUGUAACGAACGAGGUUCCUUCACCGGUGGACGUCGUUGGGAGUAAAUAGUCCCUUCUUGUGGACGUUCCAUAACGUCCCCAAUCAGAUGUUGAUUGCGAACCACUAGUAGUUGAUGUCGUUCCCCAGUAUGUAUUUUCAGUAUCAAAUGUCGACCCACCGAGGUGUAUGUCCCAUACACUAACAGAGUCUCGGCCAGGGGUUGUAUAUUCCAAAUUUUUACAAAACACGGACACUUUCGUGUUUUGCCACCCACUAGCAGAGUCUCAGGCAGAGGUCGUGUAUUCCUCUUGAACAGUAGUAGAUGUUGAAGUUGCAAAUGCAUCAUUUGGCGAUGCAAAUUGUACAUAUAACUCGAGGUAGGGUGAUCCACUAGCAAGAUGAGUCUCCACCAUUGCCUCCAAGCUACGAGGACCUUUGAUGUCGAAUGAGUCAUAUCUCACGGGAUCAACCAAAGCACAAAAUCGAUACUUAAUAGACAAAACUUUUAUUAGCGUCAUUCCGAAGAUUUUACGCCUAAUUCUUUUUCGAAGUUCUGUCAAAUCUAUGUUCUGGUUAAAAACCAGUCACGCUGUGUUCUCCGAUAAAAAAGCAACACCAUUCUCGGUGUCAUGGACCUCACCAUCAUAGUAAAUAACAGCACUAAUACGUUCAUUCAUCUUCAGUUUUUAUUCUAUUUUAACCUCAGUUUCUCUUGCUGUAACUUAUGCAGCCUGAGAAUGAAAUUUGGCUCAUUUAUAGUCAAAGGCCAAAUAGGAACUACGGUAGAAAAAGAGUGUCCACGUGGGAGCUUUUUUCAGUAAUUUUACUGAAAGUGCAUACUGCAUGAAGCGUUUUUGACACUAUUUGUUCAGAAAGGUCAUCUCACAAUUAUUUUUUCAGAUACCGCUGUAUCAAAAGUGUAACGCCCUCACGCCCAAGACCGUCGCCAAAGUCGAGCUUGAGGUGUUACUAAACUUAAUUCAUUAAUUUAACAGCUCAAACAAUUUAUUUUUAAAAUUUCUAGACAAGUUGGCCAACUGCAUCACAAUCGCUUAAAAAUUCAUAUCUCGAGUUGUGAAACUCGAAAUCCAAUUCUGUAAAUUUUUCCUGAAACUAGACUCAUAUAUCUAUCUACUAAAUUUUUUAUAGAAUUUUUGGUCUGGCCAAUUAGUACAUUUUAUUAGUUAAAGUCUCCCCUGUUUCAAGGUUAAACUACUCUAACCCCUGUGUAUUACGAAUCAGAUAUCUCCUUGUAAAGAGUCUCAAUGACUAUUCCGUUUGUUUCUUAUAAAAAUAGACUCGAUAAGGAUUUAAUACAUGUAAGAUAAAACUCCUAAUUUUUUUUUACAAUUUAUAGUGAAUUUUUAAAUUCAGAACAGGGGAUACAGAUAUCACUCUGACCCUUUUCCACCAACACUUAAAUAUCUCACAAAAUAUAACUCAUAUACCUAUUUUGUUCUAUCGAUAUGAAAAUAGACUCAUCAAGCUUCAAUUUCAUAACUUACUCAUCAUUUAAUUCCAUUUCUACUAUUUUUAGUGAUUUUUCAAAUUUACAUCACUACUGUUGUCAGAUUCUAUUUUAUGGCAAAUUUUACUUUACUACAGAUUUUCAUGGACUAAAUAGCAUUUUAAACAUACAUAACAUCAAAUAUGACUUAGAUUGGCCAUUCCAAUGGCUAAUCAUUUACAAACCCUUUUCUUGCCAAACCAUAGCCAUAUCAUAAGAUCGUUUACACAAAGUGAGUAUUUUGCCAUACAUGCCACAUUCAAAAUACACAAGCCAUUUUACCAAUUUAGGCCUCCGGAUAAUGUGAACGGGUCUUCGACCUAUCCCGAUUCUCAAGCCGGCUUGUCAACAACUACAAUGAAUGAAAAGAAGGGGGUAAGCAUAAAUGCUUAGUAAGUUCACAUACAAAUAGCAAGUAACAUAAUCAUGAAAUUCCACAUAAAACAUCAUUUGCAUAAACAACACCAAGACAUUCAUGUUUCAUUUGCAUUUAAUAUCUUUCUACGAUUUCAUCAUACCAAGUUCUCAACCCGAGGAUUUAAGCACAUACCUGUCAAAUUUUCUCAUUCACUACACUUACCAAUAUGUCACCUUCAUUUUAGGCAUUCUUCUUAUUCACUUAAGAUUCACCCAUUGAACACAUCGGAAUAUAAUUCGAAUACACGGAUUUUAUGAAUGUAAGUGCCAUACUCGCAACUAGACAAACUCUAGCCUGCGGAACUUAUGUAGCCAAGCUACCAUGUAACCCGCCCAUAAGUGAAAUCGGACUCAACUCAACGAGCUCGGGCGUUCUCAUCCAUAAGUGAACUCGGACUCAACUCAACGAGCUCGGAUGCCUAGUUACAUCUCAAGAACUCGGACUCAACUUAACGAGUUCGGAACUCAAAAUAUCCUAGUAACAUGUCACUUGUAUUCUAAUCUAUUCCCAAGGUUCAAACGGGCUUUUUCCUCGAUCACUUUUCCGUCUUCCACAGAAUAUCAAAACCGAUACUCGGUAGCAAUUCAUAUUUAACACGUAGUACCCAUAAUUUGCAUAUUUCUCAAUAAUAACCACAAAGCAUAAUAUUUCAUAAUAACAAUCUUCAUAUCAUAUAAAUAACAUUAAUGAUAAUAAUCAUCAUAUCAUAUAAAUAACAUUAUAUUACUUAAAUUGACAAUCAUGUUACCACAUUUACACAUGAACUUACCUCGAUACGAAAUAUUAGCAAUCGAGCCUAUUCCUCGUAAACUUUGUUUUUCCCUCGAUCACGACUUGAAUCUCGUUUUUCUUGAUCUAUAAUACCAAAUUAAUUUUAUUUAAUAUGUACAUUCAUCAAAACAGCCCUUAAUAUGAACUUUGGCAAAAUUACCAUUUUGCCCCUAAGCUUUCACAUAUUUGCACUUUUUCCCCAAUGCUCGUAAAUUAAACUUCAUCCUAUUUUCUUAUGUUUUAUGACAUGCUGAUCAUUUUUCCCUUCUAUAGAAACAUCAAAUUCACACUCUAACAUGUACUUAUGACUAUUAGGUAUUUUUACCGAUUAAGCCAUUUUACUCGUUUUCACUUAAAACCGAGUGGCACAAGUUGUCUAACAUAAUUUAAAACCUCAUAUUCUAUCAUAAAACACCAAAAUACACAAAUUUCACCUAUGGAUAUUUUUCCAAAUACGAACCCUAGGUUGAAUUAUUGCUAGCAUAAGCUAAAUCGAGCUACCGGGAUUCCAAAAAUGUAAAGAACAUUAAAAAGGGGCAUAGAAAUCACUUACAAUCAAGGCUUAAAAGUGUUGAAACCCUAGCUAUGGUGGACAACAAAAUUCAGCAGCAACUUAUGGAGAAGAUGAUCAUUUUUGUGUUAUUUUUCCCAUUUUAUUUCAUUUAAUAUACAAAUGACCAAAAUACCCUUACUACUAAACUUUCCAAAGAUUCCAUCCAUGUCCAAUUUUUGUCCAUAGACUUAGAAAUUGGUCAAAUUUCUAUUUAAGACCUCCUCACUAAUAUUCCAAAGCAAUUUCAUACUAAAAACUCCUAAAAUGCAAAUUUUGCAAAUUAUUCGAUUUAGUCCCUAAUUUCAAUUUAAGCACUUUAGGCAUAGGAUUUCAUCAUGAAAUUUUCACACAAUCAUGCAAUCAUAUCAUAAACAUCAAAAUAAUUAUAAAAUAAUUAUUUCUAUCUCGGAUUUGUGGUCACGAAACCACUAUUCCGAUUAGGCCCUAAUUCGGGAUAUUACAAAAAGAGCGUCCACGUGGGAGCUUUUUUCAGUACUUUUGCUGACAGUGCAUCCUGCUUAAAGCGUUUUUUACACUAUUUUUUCAGAAACAUCUUCUCAAAAUUAUUUUCUUAGAUACCAUUGUAGAAAAAAAGCGUCCACAUGGGAGCAUUUUUCAGUAAUUUUGCUGACAGUGCAUCCUGCUUGAAGCGUUUUGGAUACUAUUUCUUCAGAAACUUCUUCUUAAAAAAAUUUUUCCAGAUACUACUGAAGAAAAAAAAACCAAAAAAUUAUUUUAAAUACACUAAUACAUAAUUUAUAUUGCAUAUAUUUUUUUCCAAAACCCUAAACACAAAUUUAAUUACUUAACCCUAAACCCAAAUUUAAUUGAUUUUUUAAUUAAUAUUUAAUUUAAUUAAUUAAUCUUACACCCAAAUUUAAUUAAUUAAUCUUACACCCUAAUUUAAUUAACUAAACCCUUACAAAAACCAUAUACCCUAAAAAAUCCUAACCCUGAACCAUAAAAACCCUAAACCAUAAAAACCCUAACCCUAAUCCCAACAGAUGAAAAACAUGGACAAAGCGCGUCCCCAAGGAAGCGCUUUGUCCACAUCAGCACAAAUCGCGUCCUCAGGGAAUCAUUUUCUGCUGAUGUGGACAAAGCCUUCCUCAGGGACGCGCUUUGCUGGCAAAUACCCUGACUUCGCGUUGACGUAGACGCGAUUUCCCCGUUUUCGGCCUAUUCCAAUAAAUAAUUAAGAAAUCGGCCCAUUUCUGUAAAAAAAAUUGAAAAUGGGCCUUUAUUGGUAUUUUACCCUUUUAUAAAUUUAAUUUUUGAUAUUUAUGGAUUUGGUUUGGGUAAAAUUAUAUUUUGGGUUUGGGUUUUAAGUAAUGUGUUGUUUCCAUUUGGGUUUAACUUUAGAGAAUAAAUUUAGACUUAGAUAUAUUUGGAAUUGGAUUCAGAUAUAAAUAUUUUAAUCAAAUCAAAAUUAAAAUCUUUUUAACCAAACCGAUUUAAUUGAAUGGUGAAAUUGAUUUAAUUUGGUCAAUUAAAUUAAUUUUAAUAGUUAACUAUAAUACAUUAUAUACUACUCCAUAAUAUGGUAAUAUAAUUAUUACUAAAACUAUCAAUGCAUAUGUAUAUAUAUUAAUAUAUUAUAGAUUAUACUAAAAAAAUAUAGUAUUACAUAAUAUUAUAAUGUUUACCACAUAUAUAAACUUUUAAUAUAUUAUAUAUUAUAUGAUUUGAUAUAGUAUUACAAAUUAUAAUAAUAAACAAUUCAUAUAUAUAUUAUGUAUUCUUAGUAUAGCAUAUGAAAUAGGAUUAUUACGUAAUAUAAUAAUAUAUUAUAUAUUUAUUAAUACAAUUAUAUAUAUAUAUGACUAUUAAUUAGUUCAAAAUUGACUUAACCAAUCCAAUUUGAUUGAAUUUGUUGAAUUCGGUUGAUUAAAUUGGUUUUAAUCAUUAACUAUAAUAGAUUAUGUACUAUUUAUACAAUUAUAUAUAUAUGACUAUUAAUUAGUUCAGCGUAGAUCCCUGGCCUCUAAAGAUCUUUCCCCAAACCCCAUAAAAAAACAAACCGUUGAAAUGUCUGCGCCAGUCAACUUCCAGUAGAGGAAAUAUAAUCUUACAUAUGAACAAAAAUAAAAGAAAAUUUUAUUAUAAGGUUUCCGAAUAUAAUGUGUCAUGUGGGGUAUGAAGAAAUUAUGUAAAUUGGCUAUACAAAAUAGGUUAAUAUAUACACCACAUAAUUUAGAACACAUUUAGAGAUUUUAUCAAAGAGCAGCAUCGGCAUCCAAUUGCUGUCGGCUCAUGAGCACACCCUCGUUCCAGAUCUCAAUGCACCUGUGAAUAUAUAAGUCGUGUAACAAUGUAAAUAAAGAGUCCCCUAAAAAAUAUCAAGAGAAACCAGGGCAUUAUUCACAGUUUGUGAGAGAAGAAUCCAUACAACACAACCAUUUAUUCUCAUGGUAGGGUAUUCUAGGUUGGCUACCAGAAACCAUGGUAGAAUAUAAAGAAAAUGUGCUAUGAAGAGCAUGCACAUUUCCACACAUGAUAUGCAGAACUCAACUUAUUAGUUUAACCUAGGGUAUGUGAAUUCUAGAGCUGGCAUAAAAGAUAAUAUCACAUGCUUGCAUGCAAGAAGCUUGCUUCAUAAACUAUUGAAGUUGUAACUUUGAGUACAUGUUUAACUGUCUAUUGAUUGGUGUAACACGGAAAACCAGAAUUGAUUAAUGGUCAGAUGUUCAUGCAGUUCUAAGAGACAUGGACACACACCUUGUUCCAUCAACGGUAAUACAGAGGAAGUGGCCAUGCCGCCAACCAUCUUCAAAAUGGCCAAAGAAGACAUCACCAGAUUUUGAAUAGAAGCGACCUUCACCAUUGGCUUUUCCCUUCCAAAAGUUCACAAACCACCGAUCUCCAGUGUGAAAAUAAAACCAACCCUAAUGAACAUGUAAAAUCAAGACAUCAAACUGAUUAGUACGUAUAUUGUCCAUCAAAUGCCAACAGGUAUGUGAUUAGUUUGUAAAAGUGUUGGAUUUUUGGGCUUUGCUUGGUAGCUAUUAGAGCACUGAUGGUCUUAUUGCGCUAUUGAGUAUCCACUUUAACAUGUUAUAUAGUAUCUUUCUAUAUAAUGCUUAAAUGCAUUGAAAGUAUAUUAAUGCCCCCAAAAGCAACCCUUUUUUUUUCCCCUUUCCAGUUCCAGAAUAACAGCUGCUAGCUUUUAAAAUCAUUGCAGCUAUUUUCCAGUUCAUCAGUUUUGCCAUCCAAUGUUAAUGAGAAGUUUCCCUUUACAUCAACAUAGAUAUUCUCUGAGUCUCCCAUCUAUAAGUUCACAUAUAUAUCUAUAAACUAGCUUGCUACCUUAAAUUUCUUUUUCUUUUUCCUGAAUUUGGUACUAAUCUUAAGCAGUAAAAGCAAAUUGAAAAUUAAGUAUUGAGUGCUGUUAUCCAAACUGGUCAAGUCUUGAGUUUCCCAGGCCUCUCCAUCUAUUGUCAGAUUUUAAGAUUGGGCGUUUAACACCUAUCAAGAUUGUAUUCUUGUUGACAGUUAUGAGCUUGCCAAAUGUAUGCCCCUUUGUUUUAGUUGUUUGUAUUGGGCCUACAUGCAAGAGGGGCUGUCGAAGGUGUUAUCCCACAUUGGUAAGCCUUAAGUUUCCUGUGGUCUUAGAUUCAAGUUUAGCCUCUCCAUUUGUUACAAAUUGGGUUUUGAGGUUCAAUGCCUAGCAUAAAGUAUCAAAAUUUGCUGUGAAUUCAAUAAUAAGAACCAGAUAUGGUUGAACGAAUAACAAAUAUAUAUAUAAUAUUAGGUGCAUAAAAGAUUCACACAAAAAAUAUUAGCUUCAUGUUUAAAAAGAAAAGGGGGGAAGGGCCUAACCUUGCCAUGCAUCAGAUCAUCUCUCCAGGAUCCCUGGAAAACAUCCCCAUUACUGAAAUAGAAUGUACCCACACCUGAUCUCUUACCAUAGCGCCACAUACCAUCAUAAAUGCUUCCAUCACCAAGAAUAAGACGACCCUAAAUAGAAUUUACUCAAAUGUCAUCUGAUUUCAUCUCUCAAUGAAAUAGUAUAUAUCCUUGAAAAAAGGAGUUUUGUCAAAUAAAUCAGGGCUACAUUCCAGUACCUUUCCUUCAGGAAGACCUCCUUGGCAUCGUCCUCUGUAUACUCCUCCUCUAUAAUGCAACUCCACAAUAGGACUCCACUUCUUUGGUGAGUCUCGCUCAGCUUCCUGUGCCAUUGUUUAUGACCAAAGUCUUAAUGUAACAAGUAAUUCCAAGGAAAAAAUAAAGUUGAGUUACAUGCCAAAUGAUAAAAUAUUAAGUUUUAAACUCCAAGAGCGAAUAUGAUAUAAUUUUUGAACCAUGCAAUUGAACUCAGUAAAAAGUCAUCAAAUGAACAGAUAGGAAAAAGUGAAUCAACUUUGAAUAAUGACUCUUCAAUAACUUUUUCUACCAAUGACCUUCUUGGCAAUGUUGCAACAUGACAAAUAGUAUUACUUUUAGAAGCAGAAAGUUUGCAAAAUGCAGUUUCAGAUAAACAUUAAUGAUUACUUAAAUUAUUGUAAAAUUUACUACUGUGAUCAUAACUUUAAGCUGACACAAAAUCAAAAUGCUUAUGGUAAGUGAAUAAUAAAUAAAGAGGUUUAUGACUGAAGACACUGUAGUGUACUGAGACAACGAUAAGUAGAAGCAGAAAUUGACAAAGAAUAUUCAUUAUGCCUUAAAACUGAUCUUACAAUACAUGAGAAAGAAUUCCAGAAAAUUAAAAUGCCUUAAAGCUGAACAAAAUAAAAAAUAUUGCACAUUAAAAACCACUUAAAUAAAAUGCAGAUUACCAGCAUAGAAGCUGCACGAGCAGAAAGUACUCCCUGCUUCUUAGGAACACCAGUCUUUCCCUUUAAUAGCGUAGAUCCACUGUUAUAAAAUUCCUUCAUUGCUUCAAAACUUGCAUCAGUGAAUGCACCCAAAGACCUACUUGAACUGGGAAGUGCUGGGGCUUUGACAACAUUUUCAGAUUUUGAUUCAGAAAAUUCCAUGGCAUUCAAUGUAUUAAUACCCUCUUUUGGCUCUUCCGAAGACCUUACCCCGACAGGAAGGCAGAAAAUGCUGAGAUUAUCAAGAACUGGCGUAGCUUCUGAGUCAGCUGCUCUUUCUUUGGCCCACUCCUUUGCAAGCUGAUUCCCAGGCCCCAAAUUCCAGCGGCUCAGUGGUUCCCGAGAGAAAGUAGGAAUACCUGGAUAACUUAGGAAAAGAAAUGAGCUGAUACACUUUUCUAAUAUAAAUAUCUCCAAGUUCUUUAGAGGUUACAUAGACAGUCAUCACUCAUCAAAUUGUUAAUUGUUAAUCCAAUCUAAAAAAGAAAAUUUGCCAUUCCUACCUUCAGUAAUAUCAUCAUAAUAGCUGGAAAAGUCGGUUUUUCCAUCCAGUAAAGCAAUCUCGUUUUGAUCAGAUCCACUGUCAUAAUUUCUACAAUAGGAAAACAUUUAAUAAUUUUAUAAGCAUUUUAUGGCAAGAGAACCUUAAAAGAAAUUAAAGUGCAAAUGAAUAAACAUAACCUCAAAGAAUAGAUAUCACUGGAUUUGUCGUUCAGUGCAUCCUGAAUUUCACCAUGGCGAUCAUCAAAGCCUCCAGAUAUGCCUUCUAAAGCUACUUCUUUUCCCAUUUCAUCAGAAUCAGUCCAAUUCAUCACCUUGACAUCAUUUGUAUCAUUUGACUGCAAAGGAUGUCUCCUCAAUAGAUUAAAAACAAACGGGAAAUGCUGUGCCAGUCUAGUGAAGAUGCCGCUUUUCUUUAAAGCUUGUUCUUCAAGAUGACUACAAUUACAAAAAUUUAGAUGAGACUAAGAACAGGAAACAACCAACAAAACUUGGAUUCAUAAUCUAUAUACGAGUAACUGGGAGCAGGCAAAGGAGGUUGCAACAAACAGACAAAAUGGGAACCAUGAAAACUAAAAUAUAUUCUACACGGCGUGUAAAAUAUGUCAUCAUCAAGAUAAAACUACAUCAGGCUUGUGCUUAUCUAGCUACCAUGAGCUCAUGCUACAGAGAAGCCUAAGGAAGUCAGUAAAUUACAUAUGGAACUUCAAUCAAAUAUCCACCACCUAACCAUCAAGCAACAGAAGCUAUCAUAACUAUUUAUCUAUCCAUGCAGUUGUCAAGACAGCAAAGUGAGAAAGCUGCUUGGUAAGAUUUAAAUGGAACUCAUUGUCAUGCCUAUUUUUCUUGUAAGUUUCCAUCUAGCAUUAAGACCUGCAAUUUAUAGGCUUGCUUUGCAGAACAUUUCCAUGAUUUUGGAAAGGAUGCUUUUACUUAGGCAUAUAUUCCUAAAACAAUUUCAUGAUCCUCGCCAUGUUUCUCUUCUCUUUUUAUAAAAAUGAAAUUUAUCUUCUAGACUUCAACUAUAGUAAACUUGGGCAUAGUUUGAGCUUUCGCUGUAAUCCUUCUGGCUUUUUAAUUGAUAAGCAACUAGACGUAGUCAGUAAACUCAACAGAUUGUUUGAAUCAAUUUGACCCGAUCAACCAACAUGAAGAACCUGAGGAGCUAGUUAAACAAAAUAAUGUCUCAACUCACAAGACUUAACCACACAAUGAAUAAUUGUUUUAAAAACCAAAUUUGCAGUUGCAGUUCUGUCCAGGUGCAUAAUUUUAUGUUUGCACAGAGAAUGCCCAGGAUAUAGUUCUGAUAGAUAUGUCAACAAGAAAGUUACUAUCUCCAAUCAAUCAAAAGAAAAUUGAAAGGGGAAAUUUUCAUUGAUCAAGAACAUAGCUAAAACUGCUAACCACUGUUAGGAACUCUAACUACUCUUUGUGGUUUAGUCAUUUAGAAACUUCUGAAUACAAGUAAUAAACAAUGAAAAAACAAAUAGUUUCUGCAAACACACAGUUUACACAAAUAAUUAACAGAAGAAUGAUUCUUUGCAAUGUAAUGGCCUAUAAGGAGUUUUCAACUUUUAGGUGCCAAGACCUCCAACCACAGUAGCGAGGGGAAAAGCCAGAAAACAAAUUUGAUAAACCCUAAAAUAAACAGCUGACAAAUGCUUACACAUCAGAAUUGCAGGAAAAAUGGAAAGGGAUACCAAGUUGACAAUUGUAUUAACUAAGAUAAAAUUAAUAAUAUACUGGCAGCCAUCCUAAAAGUUAGAAGUCUUACCCCAAGAUAACAACUGUUGUGACUAGAAGGUUGGGCUCGAGCUUAGGUUCAUGAACCACAGAUAUAAUGAUAUCUUUAGUGUACUCUGUAGUUUGACGGAAUGUAUGCAAAAAGGCUUGCACAUCAUUGUUGUUGAUAACAUUAGAACUUGCAACAAUGCAUAUAACCAUGCCAUCGAGGUCCUAUGUUCAAAAACGAAAUGGUCAAAGCUUUAAUAUAACAGAUGCAAUGGAGAAAAAGGGUAGGUUGUUCAUACAAAGAAAAUAGGAAAAACAAUUAUAUUUGACCAGAUGAGGAAAGGGUGAAGGAGCACUUAAACAACAUAAAAUACAAAAGUCAUGCAUGCACAUAUAUCUCAACAGUUCAAAUGAAACUCAUGUUAGAUACGUAUUAAGAUUUCCUUAAUCAUACCUUUACCCCUGCACCAAUAAAAGGGCAGUCAUACAUAGCUUGCGAAAUUGAAGUUCUGAUGUUGUAACCAGCUCCAAAUCCAAGUUUUGCUUCUUUGUACUUUCCAAGAAUCUGAGCAAGUUUGCAUAUUUCUUAGAAAGGUUAAGGAAAAACAAAGAAGGCAUAAGCAAUGCAAUCUUAUAAUUUUGGAACUAGAAAGUAUGUAUUUCUAAGUUCCUCAUCAGUGAAACAAGGUAAAGAGAAAGGUGUCAGUAGCAGAUGCAAAAACAAAAGAAAAAACAAAUAAAAGAAACAACAUAGUUUAAGAACAAAAUAUAAAAGUCCGUGUAAUAAUAAAGUUAUAUAGGUAAUUAACUAGCAAAAAAUGCAACGUUAGGUCAACUUACAUUUAUAACUUCUGAAACUCCUAGUUCUUUCAUAUUAUCAUGAACUGCAUCAAUAAGUUUUAUUUGCAUCUCCUGGAGAAUUCCCAGAUUUCACCAAUGAUAUAAUCAUAGCAUAUAUUUAAGAGUAAACCAAAUAAGGAAAAAGAAAUGCUUACACUUAUGACAACUGAUAUAGCAUUUAUGGCAAGGAAAACAGCAUUAUUGGCAGUUUUCAAAGCCUCGUCUAGAGUCACCAAUUCGUUUUUUAGCAAGGAGUCAGUGUCAAUCUCUGCAAAUUAGAAGAUACUACUUAAUGUACUGUAAGGCUAACAAGUCUAGAACCCCACCCCCUCAACCCCCCCCCCUCCCCAAAAUAAAAAAGAAGAGAUAAAAGGAAAAACUGUGAAAACUAUUGACAUGAUGGAAGGACUGUUUGUAUUAAAAGUGACUUAUUAUUCAAUUUAGAGACAAGUACUUUCAAGUAACUUACCUAGCUUCUAUCGUAAUCACUAAAGAAUUAGUUUGUUAAGUCAAUCAAAGUGGAACCUAAAAAAAAGCCUAGCUUCACAAGUACCUUCAAAGCAGUUCAAAUAAAACCAUGAGACACAGCAAACCUCCUGGUGCCCAGCUAAGAGCUAUUUUGCAGAAAAGGUGCUUAGUUCAAGCACCUUCUUGAUAAUGGCAGGUAAUAACAUCAGGAUAACCUUGGGAGGUCUAACCUAGUUGUGACACAAUAAAUUCUCCUAUAUGUCCAUAAAGGAGGCUUGGGAGUUCAUAAAUAUAUUAGAUUAUUAAGUAAUUCUUUUAAAGAAAUAGUAAAUAUUCAACUAACAAAAUCUUUCCACCAUACUUACCAAUACAAAAAUUUGUAAGCUCUUGAAGUUUUCCCGCCAAAUCCUUGACCUGCAUAUUAAGUUAUGAUAUGUCGUGAAAAUGUAACAUGAUAAUUAUCUGCUUGAAUUAUUUUCAUAGUUACCCAUACAAACCAAUAACUUCAAUUUUCAAACUUCCCCCUAUUGGUACUCCAUAAGGAACUCCACAUAAGUUUAUGCCUAGUUGCUAUCAUUAGACCUCCAAACACUUAGAAUUUUAACUUGAGUGAGAUUCCUGCAACAAAACCCAGACUCUGGGUAUUUCCUUUCAGCUCUUAAGCAUAUUCAACUCUAGUUUUUGAGCUUCAGCCCAAAAAGGUUUCAGACUAAGGAGGUCAUCUCCAAUCAGUCCUUCUCUAUCAGUUUAUCAGCCUUUUAUCAUACACUAUAUGAACUCUCCACUACUUUUGGGUUGCAUGGUAUAUGCUCCAUUACAUUUUUGUAAAAGGUCUAAUUCUGAAUUUGAUCCCUCUACUUUAUGGAGACUAAGAAGUUAGUCCCUCUAAUUUGUCAAAAUUUGAUCCUCAUACUUUAUGAAAAUUGAAAAGUUAAUCCAACUGUUGGUAAACGCAUGAACUUGAACUACUGAUUUUAGUUAAUUUGUUGCACAUAAAUUGUUGAAUUGUUGGUUUUUGCUAAUUUAAUUGUUGAAAUGCUGAUUUCCAAGUCAGUAGUUUAACGAAAAAGCUUAACAGUGACACCAAAUUGGACUAACUUCUCAGUUUUAGUAAAAUGGGGCAUAACUUCUGACAAAUUAGAAUAGAUGGCCUAACUUCUCAAUUUUUGAAAAGUAGAGAGAUGAAAUUCAUAAUUAGACCUUUGUAAAACUUAAAAUUUCAUGCUAUGAUUCAUGCAUCUAAUACCCCGAAAACAAUAUGGAACUCCACCUAUAAAAUAAUAUCACUUAGCAAAUGGUUAUAUUCAACGUAUUCGGAAGUUAAUUGAUUUUUCAACUAUGCUAAGUUUGGAGUCCAAAACAUAUGCAUCAAAAUGCUAUGGUUUAAUCCUGUUUAUUCUCAAUAGACCACGAGCCAGACAGACAGACAGAUAGACAUGUAAAAAUCUUGUUCAAAAUUCAACCUUCUAGCAUAAAAUUCCUUUCUUGAAACUAUGGACAGGUAUGCCAAAGAUUUAUAUACAAUAUAGUUUUUAACUGUUAUAUGAUAUGUUCUUUAUGGAAAAGAAGGAAAUCACGUCACAACUUAGAAGCAUUGCUGACCUCAUCAAAUCGUCUUUGCCCCUCAAAGGUGAAAGGCUUUAAAAUUAUAGCAACAGAAAAUCCAUUGGAAGAUCUUAUUGUUUUAAGAAUUUCCAUUACUGCAAUGUGAUCCAAGCCAUACCCAGCACCAGCCACCUGGUUGAUAGAAGAAAAAAGAGAAGCAGAAGGAAUGGGUCAAGCACAUUACAACCAAGAAUUAACUGGGUCAACAAGGAAGUUCGCUAUGAAAUAGAACAAUCUCUUGAUUUUAUAUACAUCAGCAUUAGCAAUUUCCAAUAUUUGAAAGCUUUUAAAUAAGCACCAAAUAUAUAGGGGACGCAAAUGAACCAUGGCAAGUAAAUUGCGGAUGUUCAAGAGUUUAUGGAGUCUAAUACACAAAUGAGAAAACUUACUACGAGUAAAUAUUCUACUUAUAAAUGAACCAAUAUUGCUAUAUGACUAUUCUGAUUGUAUCUAGUAUACUAAUCUUUUAGACUUUCUUUUCAAGUCGUCUACAGUAGCAGGGUUAUUUUAUCAUCAUUGCAAACUGUUUCUGCGCAAUAUUUCAUUUGACGAUGAAAAAUAAUCAGUAUUGAUCACUUAUAUUUUCUUUUAAGAAAAUAAUAAAAUAGAUGCAAGAAUCCAAGGUGAGGAAUGUACAAACAAGGAUAAUAGUCUUUGGACAUGACUGCAUGAAAAUAGCAGCUUCCACAAUCCUUGGUGUAAGAUCUGGAAUGGAAAACAAAAUGAAUAUAAAAAAUCAGCUUAAGUAUUUGCAAAAAUGUGAACAAAAUCAACAAAAAACCUUGAUGAAAUUACUUGAUCUUAACGUAGAGAAGUUCUUCCAGUUACAACUCACAAUUAAUUAUCAUGAAUGUAAAUCUAAAAUCUUAACCUAAAUCGCUAAAAAUCAUCCAUCCACCUCACCUUUCAACAACCACCUUAUAUAACCAGUCACAAUUUCUCUUUUAUCCAUGUAGAAAGAAAAUAAAGAAUGAGAAACGCUAUCUAGUAGCUUCUACCUAAACUUUCUAAGUUUUAAAGCAACAAGCAAACUUGCUAACACCAAAAUAAGUUUCAAACAUUAUGGUAUACUAUCAAUCCUAGCUUUCAUAAAUGGACCUGCCAAAAUAUUAUGCAAAGUCAAUUAGUUAAAUAUCUUCAAUUUAAAAAAAAAGGCUAAAAAAUUGCAUAUGAAUUUUACAUACCAAAAACAGUGAGCUAAUAUAAUGAUUAUUGCUUUUAUUUACCGUUUGGAAUUUAGGUUCUCCAGACUUAUAGUGAUUGAGAAAGUUAUUAAAACUUUUUAAUCAUAAUUCACAUCAGCUGUUACUUUCAUGCCUAUUUCACAUUCAUAGUAAUCAUUUACAAGGAAAAGAAACCAGGCACCAAAAUUAUCAAGCUAUACCCAACUUCAGUCAACCACAAAAUAAUAGAUAUAUAAAUAACCAACAAAAUUUUGGCUUCUUCAUAUACAACAAACCGAAACAUUUCACCAUUAUUACACAAAUUACCUUCAUUCCAAUCAUAAAGGAUUUAAAUUAAAUUUGUAAGUAAAAGCAAGAAUCUUCACAGAAACAGUCUACCAUAAGACAUGAUUUUCGAGGUAAGAUAACUAUGAUGGAAUCUUACAGUCUAGAUAUAAUUUCAAAUUUGGAUUUAAUAUUUGGUUGAUGCAGCAUGAUAUACUAAUUAAAGAGUUAAAGAUAGGACAAAACCUUUUCCUAGGAACCUUUGUUGUAACUGCACAUUUGAUGAGUCCUUCAUGAGAACAUUCCUGGAAAGAAAAAGAAAGAUACAAGAGAGAAUCUCAAAUAUAUUAUCAUUGAAAAAGAUGUGAUGCCAAAAGCUAGAAACCAAUACUAGAUCUUGAACCAAAGCUUUUGCUAUAACAUUAUGACAAGAUUGCUUGAAAGUAGUGAAUUUGAAGAGAAUAUAUCCAUUCAUAACAACAACCUGUCAGAAUUUAUAAAGCAACAAGAUUAGAGAAAUCUGAAGCAAUUUUAGCACUUCACAGCACGGGAAAAUGUUUUGAGCUUAUAUCUCAAACCAAUGCAGGCAUCUUACACUAAUUAAACAAAUAUUCAGUACCAAAGAUUUGCCCCAAGAUAAGAGUCAUUAUUGCAAUCCAGAUUUUUGAAGGUUUUCUUAAUAAUGUUAAGACACAACCAUAGGAAAAUCGUCUCAACUAGCCUAUACCACAAAUAAAGUAUGAUAACCUCAGUAGAAAAAGGCAGCCUGGUAGUUGAUUUGUGUUGCUAUAUGCAAUCUUAACCAAAGGCAGCAAAUAAUAUGCUCAUGUAUAGAAAAACAGCAGUUUAACAAGAUUAACAUGACAACACGAUACUUCCUGUUGGCUUCAUUUCCAUUAUACCGUCAACCAUUUACCAAAAGCAUGCCUAAUUCAAAUUAAAAACUUUAAAAACAAAAAAGAAAAAAAGAACUUAAAAUCAAAUUAAAGGGAAAUUACCAAAAUCUCAAAGAAGACGACUGGAAAGGCGAGUCCAAGCAAAAUUCAAGUAGAGCAUCUUUCCUACUACCAAUGGCAAUCACUUCGAGCACCCCACUGUUCCCCUCCAUGUUUUGGCCGUACCCAUUUAAAGAGCUAGACUGUUUCUCCAUACUCAUCGAAAUUUUAACAACAGACCUCGGGUUAUAACACAAUCUUUUACAACACAAACUUUUGGGACCCAAGAAUGAAUUGAAGAAAACAGGCUUUAAAGAGAAACGGGUCAAUAGGGAAAUGCGAGAAAAUACAUGAGAACCAGUGAGAACUGGAAACUCGAUUGAAGAAGCAGGCAUUUUAAUUUUUUUUGGUUGCAAAAUUUUGUCAGCGGGGUAUGCUUUUGCAGAGUGAUUUAAAGAAAUAUUUUUUGUACGAACUGAUUUCAAGUCGGAAUUCCGGAUAAUAAUGUAAUGCAAAUGGCAAAUAUAAAUAAAACAAGUAAAAUUUUCAGGGAUGCAAUUAAAGCCCAACUAGUUUUCUUUUCCUUAAUUUAAGGCCCAAUUAUGAAGGCAAAUAAAAUUAAGUUUUUAUUAUUGCACCAUAAUGCGGAAUCUACCUAUCAACUUAUUUUUAUUUUUAUUUUUUAGUUAAAUUUAUCAAAAACUGUCCUCAACUUUUCAGGAGUUUAAUUAUUUUUUUAACGAAAAUAUUGAUAAAAAUAUUAAAUUUUAAAAUAUGAUAACUCAUUUAUUCUUUAUUCUAAUUUUUUAUUUUUAUAUUUUUAUAUAACUCAUUUAUUCUUUAUUCUAAUUUUUUAUUUUUAUAUUUUUAUAAUUUUUAAAUUAUUUGAAAAAUAAUGUUAUAUUAGCAUAAAAUACACGUGGACCAUUAUGCUAGUUGUCAUGCCAACAUUAUUAAAAAAUUGAUAUUUUAGUCAGCAUUUUCUUUAAAAAACGAUUUAAUUCUUUUUUAAAGGCUAAUGACCAAAUUUAGGCCUUUUUACCCUAAUAUUACAUUUUAUUAUAUUAAAUUCGAAAAUGGGCAAGAUGGGGAUUAUUUAUGAGAAUGGUAUGAAUUGGUUGGUAGAGGGUGGUGAAUAAGCGGCACCACCCUCAAAUUCUGACAGCCAUUUAAAAAAAUUAUAUUUUAAUAGGUCAUGGCUUGUUGAUAGGGAUGAGCAAAAUCUGAUUCGGUUCAAAAAAACUUGAUAAAAUUUUUAAAUUUUGAAUUAAAUAGUUCGAGUUUUUUGAGUUGAUCAAGUUAUUUGGAUCAACUCGAAUAAAAAAUUAAAUUUUUCGAUUUAACUCAAAUAUGAAUUACACAAUUCGAGUUAUCCGAAAAUCCAAAUAAGAAAAGGCAAAAUUACGCCAUUUAGAUAAAUGUUUACAUUUUCUAAAGUUAAAAGCUAAAAGGUAAAACUACAUUGUUUUGAUAAAUAUUUACUCAUUAAGUUAAAAAGUAAAAACCAUUAUAUUGUUUAUGUAGUUAAAUAAUUUUAUACUUCGUUUACUAGUUAAAUAAUCGGUUCAUGUAAAAGCAACAUUGAGUAUAAAUAAUAAGAUUCACUAACUCGACUCGACUUGACUCAAAAUUUUUUGACUCGAUUCAAUCCGAUUCGAAAAAAAUUCAAAUUGAGUUCGGUUGCUAAAAUAGGAUUCGUCAACUCGACUAACUCAAAAUUUUUUUUACUCGAUUCAACUGGACUCGAUCGAAUACUCACCCUUACUUGUUGAUAGGCGACACCAAAGAAAUACGGGUCGAAUACGACCCAUAUACGACCUAAACCCAACCUAACCCCGUGGCAACUGAAGGUGAAGGGCACUUGACAGGCAGCACCAAGCUAGUGAAGCCCACCUAACAGGCGGCACCAGUCUCUUCUGCAGUGAUGGGACGCUGCACUGCACUGCAGCGAUAAGACGGAACCAUCACUGAUCCCGUGACUUAUGUUCUAGGGACCUUAUAAUGGUCCACAGUCCCAUUUUGUGAUCUGAAAGAAAAAAAAUAGUUUAGAAGAAGAGAACGAGAAGGGGAAAGGAAGGAAGGGAAAAAAGAAAGAAAAAAAGAUAAGUAGAAUAGUUAAGAGAGCAAAAGGAGAAGGAAAAAAAUAUAAGGGGGAAGGAGAAAGAGAUUCAAUUUGGGGUUGUGUUUAGAGUUAAAAAAAGAAAAGGGGGUUGUAUUCAGGGGUUAUAAGGGUUUAGUGUUUAAAAAAAAUCAUAAAAGGUAUUUUUUUUAAUUUAGUGGUUUUUUUGUUAUAAAUGUUAAAUUUUUUUGUUUUUUUAUCUAUUACGGAUUUUAAUUUUUUUAUUUUAUUUUUGUAAGAUAUUAUUUCGGUAAAAAAGAAAAAACUUUAUAGGUUUUAUUUUGGUAAGGUAUGUUUUUAUUAUAUUUUCAUUCUUAAGUUUUUUUUUAUUAUAUUUAAAUAACAACAUUCGUAUUUAUGGAGAAUCCUCUAUGUUUUUUUUUAUGUAAUUUAUUUAUCAUGUGUGUUUUAGAUUUGUUUGGGUUUUCGUUUGGGUUUGUUUGAUGUUUUUGAACUUAUGUCUGUCUUUAAGUUUUUUGUUUUGGACUAAUGAUAAGCAAAAGCCCAAUCUGUUUAUUUCAAUAAUAAUAAUAACAACAUUCGUAUUUAUUAGGUUUACUAUGUUGAGAUAGUUUAUGUUAUGUUUCUGUUAUAAUUUUUUAUUGGCAUUUUUUUAAAAUUUAAUAUUAGAUGCACAUAACAAUAUAUAGUCUAAUUAAGUUUAUUUUGUUUUGAUAAAUUUUAUUAUUUUAACAUAAAUUUUUUGUUUUUUAUGUAGGUAAAAGAUGAGAUCAUUAAGUUGGAAUUUAUGAGAUAUUUUUAUUUUGUUAAUUAUAUAUUGUAAUAGUAUAGCAAAAAAUAUGAUGUGGAAAAAACUGUUUAGCAUUUUAGUAAUGAAAUUUUUGUACUGUAUUUAUUGUAUCACAUUUAGGUAUUUUGAUAAAUAUUUAAAAUGGAACAAACUUAGAAAUUAAUUAUCGAAAUUUGUUUUAAAAUUGCAAAUAUCAAAAUAGGUUCUUUGAUUAAUAACGAUGAUCACAUAUCAAACACAAUUAAUAAGAUGGUAAUAAAUUGUUAUUUCUUAUUCAUGGGUUCCCUUAUAAAAAGUUUCAUGUAAUUUACAAAAUUAAAUUAUGUUAUAAUAACAAUUUUCUGUAUUUUAAUACUGUUAGGGCCCGUACUGCGCAUUGAGGGGUCGUGUGAAUGGUUUAGGAUAUCCCCCGAAUGAACGACUGAUGCCAUACUUGGAGUUAGCAGGAUUUGGUCAACAGCAUUGAUCCAGACGUUUGAUUUGCGGUAGGACUAAAUAUUCGCUUUGGUCGAGCGUUGGCGCCCGAAGACCCACACUUUUCAUUUGUCGUGUGGGGAGUGCACUAUCACUCUGGAGGAUGUUGCAGUGCAACUUGGGCUCCCAAUCGACGGGAGUACGGUAAUGGGUAUAAGUACAAUCUCUGAGCCGACUACUCUUUGUGAUAACCUACUAGGAGUCUCACCCGAUGAUGCUGAGUCGAAAUCUACGGGUUUGAGAUUUUCAUGGCUGGAAGCUAAUUUUGAGCAUUUAUCAAUUAAUGCCACUAAGCGGGAUGUGAUAUGUGUUGCUUAAACCUACAUUAUGCACAUUAUAGAGGGUGUACUCAUGUCAGAUGCAAACAACAACAAGGUUAAUUUAAUGUCUGCUCAUAUAAUUGGGGUUUCACAGUACUAGCUAUGUUGUAUCGCGAGCUUUCUUGGACAACAAAGCCUUCUGCCAUGGAUAUAGGUGGAUGCCUCAUAUUGUUGCAGUCUUGGGCUCUUUACCAGAUGUCAUUCUUGGCAUCGGUUAGUCACCAAGCAUAUGUAUUUCCACUAGUGAAUAGGUAACAAAAUUUUACCAGUUAUAGCAAUUAUUUGACAUUUUUUUCUAGUGAUACUAAUCUAACAAGAUAUUUGUUUUCAUAGAUGGAGUACCAAUCCGAGUAUUGGGAGGUCAUACACUAUUCCGAUAUAUCAUUUGAUGAUUGAGCAACAUGCUAGGGAAGGGGUAAGCUAUUCCAAUAUUUGUGACAUGUAAUUACUUUGUAUAUUUUACUCAUACCGUGUUAGAAUCUAACAAUGUUAUUAAUUGUGUAGUUCAUCUAAAUGCCCUAUCAAAUAUCAAAAAUUACAGUUGUUAUUCCCUCGUCUGCCCAUAUUCACUCACACAUAUUGUGUAUUAACGCACCCAUUACCAAUUUCUAACGGGGAUCAAGUACUCCAACAGUUUGGUUGCAUAUAGUAUAUCACAAUUUUGCCAAUGCAAUUAGGGAAAAUCCACAGGAUUAACAAGUGGGGAAAACAUGAAAAUAAUUAGAGGUUGUGCAUAAAUAAUAUAUUGCAGUGUGGGACAACCAUACUACAUCCUUGACAUCUUCGACAAACACGUGUCCCGCCUCCAUCUAGUUGACUUGUUGUUGCCCCAUUCUUGGUAUCAAGAUAGUCAACCUGUAGAACGUAGUCGAUAACACAAAUGAAAUCGAAAGAUGUCGUGUUUUUAUCAACACGAAGUUAACCCCUUUCGUCAAGUUGGUGGUCAUAUAAUCAUAGCGAAAGCCCUCGUCGAAAUUUUGAGCCCAUUGCCACAGCUCCAUAGUACCCAACCACUAUAGGAAAAGUGUGUUUGUUUCACCCUCCAUGUCACUCUCAAGUCGAGUUAUCCUUUGCCGAAAAAUGUAUAGCUCUAGCUCGUACGCUGUGUAUGUAUUAAGAAAGGUUGUGUUACAGUAUCGCCCUAAAAAAUUUAAAAUGUACAUUGAAAAGAUAAGGUCAUCUUUUACCCAUUCUCACAACUUGUCUCUGCCAGUCUGUAUUCUUAUAAUCUCAGUGAAAGUUAGUCGUGAUGUGUCUCCAUGGUACACCGGAAUGCCUAAUGGCAGCAAUUAAUCAUUUUCCUCUAUUAGAGAUUAUGCAAAUAUUAUCGUUACUAAUAACAUACCUCCGCAAGUUCAUAAGGAAGAAUUCUCAUUAUUCCAUGUUCUCUUAAUCCACAAUGGCAAACGUUAUCGGGAGCACAUUUUUGUUCCCGUCUUGAGCAACCACAAGAAGCAUGAUCUGCGUAUAUUUACCGUAUAGUCAAGUCUCAUCUACUUACACAAACAGUUUGCAGUGGGGAUGUAACACCCCGAACCCGAGACCGACACCGGAGUCGAACACGAGGUGUUAACAGACUAUAAACCCCUUAUAAAGAUAUUUUCCAGACACUGCCUAAUCUGCGUACUUGUCGCUUUAAAAAUCAUAUCUUGAGUUUCACAACUCGAAAAUCAGUUUCGUGAUUUUUCCCUGAAACUAGACUCAUGUUCCCAUCUACAUGUUUUUUUCUAGAAUUUUUGGUUGGGCCAAUUAGUACAGUUUAUUAGUCAAAUUCUCCCAAGUUACUGGGGUCGACUACACUGACCUUUGCGCGUUACGACCUGGAUAUCUCCCUGUACAGAACUUCAAUACUGAUGUCGUUUGUUUCUAUAGAAACUAGACUCAGAGAGGAAUCUAUACAUAUAUGGUACGAUCCUAAUUAUCUCUGGUUAAUUUAUAAUGAAUUUCCAAAGUCGGAGCAGGGAAUCCAGAAACUGUUCUGGCCCUGUCCCACGAGAACCUGAUUUUCUCUUAACAUACUGUCCAUAUGAUCUUUUCGUUACUCUAUAUGAAAAUAGACUCAUCGAGCUUCGAUUACAUAAUUUAUUCAUCAAUCAAUUCCAUUCCUACUAUUUUUAGUGAUUUUUCAAUCUCAUGUCACUGAUGCUGCCAGCAUCUGUUACGAAGGCAACCAUGCCCACUUCAUGUUUACUCCUUGAUCCAACUAAUAAUUCCUCAUGCAUAUCACAAAUUAUGAUCAUGACUAACCAUGCCAAGGCUAAUCAUUGUCAACUUCUCCCUACUACAUUAUUGUCAUAUCAUAAAUUUUAACACCAAAACAAUUAACCAUGACAUAUGGCAUAAAAAGGUCGAAUCAUCAAAAUUUACGACCUAACGUUAUGAAACCAAACCCAACCGAACAUUUAUGCCAUUUUCGCAUGGCUAAAAGUUUACAUACCAAAGUUCAAACACAACAUAAUAGCCUAUACAUGCCGAAAUGUUCACCUAAGCCGACUAAGAAGAAAGUACCAAAACUUGCUAUCCGGUGUGAUGACUUCGAUGACGGCCCGACCACGCAAAAAGAGAUGUGUCCAAGAAACCUAGAAUAGGUGACAAGGAAACACCGAGUGAGUUGAUAACUCAGUAAGUCAUAAGCUAUGCACUACCAUCCAUCAAUAACAUUAUCACAAGAGAAAACAAAAUGGAACGAGGCUAAUUACUCCAUCCAUUCCGAACCAUACUCUAGUUCCUCCAACCUAUCGGUUCAAUUUCAUACCCAUUUAUGCAUUCACAAUCCACAUACUCAUCAAUAGGAUAUUCGAGGCAUUUUCAUAAAUCAUUUUAUUUCGUUACAAACAUACAACUAAACGGCCUUUCACCCAUUUUACGAUAAAUUUUAUGUACGUGACUUCAAGUAUAUUUGUCACAUAGGUUCAAACUUACCAAGCUCAACACCAAGUAUAGACAUAGCACCUAUUAGCCAUGAACUCAAGACACUUACCCGAUCCGCUGUCCAUGAUCGACUCAAUAGUGUCGCACACAUAGUGUCCAUAAUGAUUCAAGGAUGUAUAUUAAGUCCGCACACUCAGUGUUAUAUAGUCAACUCGCACACUUAGUGCUACAUAAUCAAACUCGCACACUUAGUGCUACAUAGUCAAUUCGCACACUUAGUGCAACAUAGUCAAUUCGCACACUUAGUGUUACAUAGUCCAACUCGCACACUUAGUGCUGUACAAUUUAAAUCCGCACACUUAGCGCCAAUCUCAUGGUCAUAAAUGGUUAUACCCGCACAUUUAGUGCCGAGAUUAACAACUCAACACAUCUCACCUCUUUUCUUUUCGUUCAACAAUUUCAUCAUCACAUACAUACAUGUAUAUAUAUAUAUUUAUUCAUUCCAUUCAGCAUCAUUACAUAGAUGUUAUAACCAUUUGAAUUAAUACCAAAUAUAUGCUUAAUGACUUACCUUAAGUCGGAUGGAAUGCUUCCCAAUCGACUACUCAAUAUUCUUGGCUUUGCCUUUGCUUGUUUCCCCUCCUUUGGAUUCUUGAGCUAGAAUAAAUAAGUUAAUAGUUUAAUUUAUCUUGCAAGAUAUUCAUAAAUAUGUAAAUUUAAUGAUUCCACUUCUUCUUGCAACCCUCCUUGUUCCAAAUAUCAAAAUUUCAACUAAUGUUUAGAUUACAUCUCAAAGCCGAAUGCAUUAUCAUUAUCAAAAUAACAUUUGGUCAUCAUUUUGUCAUUCAACACAUUUUUUUUUCACUUCAUAAACAUUUUGACCGUAUACUUCUAAACUAGCAAAAGCUCCCCAUUUAUUCGUACUAUCUUUUAAAUACUAUCAAGUUCAUAUACUUCUAAUUUCUUGAGUUCAACAUCUUAAUGCCCAUUAUAGCCACUCCCAUAAUCUAAAUUUAAAAAAUCGGCAACACCCACAUUUUAACUAUCUUAGCCGAAUACUCCUCAACACUUAGACUAAAGUAUGCACAUUAAACUUAAUACAACUUUCAUUAUACCUUUCACCCUAAAACAUAAUUUAUAAAUCUUGCCCUUCCUUCCAUGUUUCGGUCAAUUAUUCAAAUUACCUCAUAGCAUGAACAUUUUUUUUUCAACUAAUCUAGCAUGACUCAUUCGGCCUUAACAAUGAACCACUUUUCAUACAAGGACAAAAAUAAAUCAAAUGAACCUUCCAUUUAAACCCCAUUAUAUCUUCUACUCAUUCAAUAAUACAUGUAAACAACUACUAAUUCUAGUACUUUGAUACACGGUUUAGUGCCCAACCAUCAUAAAAGUUUGAAUUUUUCUUAAUAUUGUCAAAAUACAUUCACAAAUUAACUUAAACAUAUAAGAAGAUUUAACUAACACUUCAAAACUUACCUCCUACUAGCAAGAAGUAGUGCCGAAUUACCUAAAUGAGAAUUUUCCUUUUUCUCUUCUUUGGUUUCGGUUUUGGCAAGGUGGAGAAGAAUAUGAACACUCCUCUUCCCUUUUUCUCUUUCAUUCCAUUUUAUUAUAAUUAUUUUAAGUCAUUUGUUAACUAAACAAAACAUAAUAAAUUAGAAUAAGUGGAGCACCAUCACUCCUUGGCCGGCCACCCAUCAUCUUUUGGGCAAUUUGACAUGCAAAACCACUCUUUUUGGUACAUGCACUAAUAGACCAUUUUAAAUUAGACUAUCAUAUUUUUACCAUGUCUCAAAUCGAUCCCAAUUAAUAAUUUCUCAUGCAAUUGGUAAAAUUAGGGAGUGAAACUUCCACAUACUCAUGUUCACACAUAAUAAGCAUAGAAUAUAGCAAGUAAUUAUUUUUACGACUCGGUCUUGUGGUCCCGAAACCACUUCCCGACUAGGGUCAAUUUUGGGCUGUCACAGGGGAAAUAUACGUACGCAUAGAUCAAACGUCUAGAAAAUCCGUUGAAAAAUUCUUUUUCCCAAUUAUAGUUGGUCAUCUGGGUCAUAAUAAGGUCGUGUUUGUAACUCAAUUACAAUCCCCGACACGUACUCCGCAUAGCAGUUAUCCACCCCUGUAGGUCAUUGUACGACACAUCGAAAUCUCUGUACAAUUGCUGUAUUGCCAUCUGUUUAGCUAUCCAUGCCUUCCGGUAUAAUACUCGAUACUGGAAUCGUGUCUGCAUUUUGGUAAUCAGUAACGAAACUUUAAUGGUUGACAUGUCCUUCACCAUUUGCAUGAUGCACGUACAAAUAGUUUUGGAAUAAAGUUUCCGGUGAUCUUCUGGCAUAUGUGUUGAAGUGCAUGUGCGAGGCCCAACAAAUUUUCGUAUCUCCUAAAUCUGCGACUUUUGGAUAAAUAUGGCUCGUACCCGCCAAUUGUAGCAUUCCAUCAAUUUCUAAUACUCAUCAAUAUAUAAUGUUGGUUUAUACACGGUAACUUUGUAGUCUAUUGACACAUUCAUGCUAUACUGCUUAAUGACAAAUACGCACUCUUUCUUACUUUCGAAUCUCUGGCCCAUAACAACUCCUCAGGAUCAGAAUUUAUAGCCAACCGAUGAGCAGAUAGUAUAUCAGGUACUCUGGAAACUCAGCUGCAUGCACCGCAUCGGGGUCUAUAAGCGACAUACGUGCCCUGGGAUUAUUAUGUAUCAUAAUAUGUUGAAUCUGGUUCUCUACUGAAGACGCGAUAACAUUUCCAUCGUCAUUCACACAUUCAUCGUCAAUAUCAUCUAGUAUCUUGUCCAAAUCGGGAUCACUAUCACUAUUGACCUCGUGAUUAGAAGGAUCACUACUACCGCAUCCAUCAUCACCAACCGCAUCAGUCUUGGGUGCAGUAUUAAGAUCGAUGUCGCUCCCGCAUACAGUCGAUUGGCUAUCAAAGUAUGAUAUCGUAACCACCAUAUACGGCUCUUGAGCUCCAUGUUCUUUAUAUAAUGGAGUGGGAUCUUCAAUUGUCUCCACAUCAGCUAACUCAGGAAAUAACUUAAUCAGUGCAUUUUGGUCUCUCUGAUUCCCACAAUAAAGAGCGACUAUUGUCUCUAUAUCUUCAUCGUCUACAAGUUCUAUCUUAGUGAAUUUGAGGGGAUCUGUCGAAACUGGAAACUUAUAGAAAAGUUCGAGAUCCUUCUCCCACAAUGUUUAAUAAUUUUUACACUAAUCAUUUCCUUCAUAUCAUCAAACGAGACAUUUCUAUUAAAUCUUAUUGCUAUUUAUUGGCACUCAAAUAUAUAUCCAACUAUUGUUGUCAAAAUUACUCUAUCGAAAUAAAUGCAUUUGAAAAAUUGAUUAUCCAUCUUCAAUACUAAAUCUGUUAAGAAAGAAAUAAAAAUUCUCAAUACAAUUUCGAACAGCAAAAAAAUACUUUAAUAGAAAAUAAACAGUAAAAAAAAACGAACAUUAUAUCAAUAUGCAAAUUAGUAACAAAAUACCUUCACAAUAAAAACUACAUUUAUAAUUCUUUCUAUUUAAAAAAAAACAUACUUUCACCUUACUCUUCUCUACUAUCCUUUGUUUUUUUUUUUUUUUGCUUCUUCUUUCUUUCUACUUUCUUUCUUUCUUUCUCUGCUCUCUUCUCUACUAAAAACUUUUUUUUUACCUUUCUUUCUUCUUUCUUUCUUCUUUCUUUCUUCUUCCUUUCUUCUUUAUUCUCUUUUGCUAUCUUUUUUUUGUUGUUAAACUACUUCUCUUCUUCAUUGGGGACCAUUAAAAGGACCCCCAAAUUUGCUUCACCAGUGUCGCCUAUCAGAUAGAGGUAAUUGGUGCCACCUAUCAAAUAAGGGUCACUGAUGCUGCCUAUUGAUAUGGCACCACCCCCAUAUACCAUUCCCUUAUAUCUAAGCAGGUAUAUACUAAAUCCGUAAACCUGUAUUUCUUUGGAACCGCUUAACAAUAAGCCAUGACCUAUUAAAAUAUAAUUUUUUUUAAAAAUGGCUGUCAGAAUUUAGGGGUGGUGCUGCCUAUGCACCACACUCUACCAACCAAUUCAUACCAUUCUUGUAAAUAAUCUCCCAUCUAGCCCAUCUUUGAAUUUAAUAUAAUAAAAUGUAAUAUUAGAGUAAAAAACCCCAAAAUUUAGCUAUAUAUAUAAAAAAAGAGAACAAUAGUCAAAUUGACAAAAUCUAUAAACACUGAAGGCUAAAUUAGCAUUAUGCCUAUUAUUAUUUAUACUAUAUAUUGAGCUUUUGACUGAGUUAGUGUCCUCCAUCAAUUUGGUUGUAAAAUAAUCAAAAGUCAUUUCUUUUACAAAGCAAUAAAUAUCAUUUUUAUGAUAUUUCUAGAAAAAUAUAUACACAUGGUGAAAAUCAUAAAAUUGGAACCUUGAAAGAUCAUAAUUUUACUAUCUCAACUUUAUUAUUUCAAUCAAAACCUCAUUUAACUUUUAUAUUGAAUUUUUAUUUUAUUUAUAUUUAUUGAUUAUAAAUUAAUAUUUAUAUUUAUUUUAAAACCCUUCAAUAUUUUUAUUUUACACUAAGUGAUAUUAAUUGGUAUCCUCAAUUUAAUAUAAGUAUAAUCAUAUUCUUUUAGUUAUGAUUCGCAAUUAAUAGAAGACUUUUUACACGUUUUAAUGAUAAUAUUGAAAAUUAAUGAAUGAAAUAAUAAAAUAAUAAUAAUAAUAAUUUUCAAACUGUAUUAGGGUGGGUUUGGAUAGCGGUGUAUUUACUUAUGAUUAGUGUAAAAAUAGUGGUGGUGGUGAGAUUAGAUACUAUAAUGAUACUGUAGCGUGGAUAAAAAGUAAAUUAAAUGAAUCGUAGUGCACCUUACCUUCCAUUCAAACCCACCCUUAAUUAGAUUAGUCGGUUGAGACGAAGAGCUUUAGCAGUAAAACACGACAAUAAAUGCACAACAUAUAGACAAAUGAACUUAAUUUUUUAUUAAAAAUAUACAUUUUAUAUUUAAAUAUAUUUGGUCUUUUAUCCAAUUGUUUUCGAUAAACAAGUAUUUUCUUUAAAAAAUUAUUCUAAGUGAUAAAAACUUUAUAUAAAAUCUUAUUAAAUGAUCCAUAAAUAUGUGUUUUUUAAUAUAAUUAUAUAAAAAUAUAAAAAUAUCAUCUAAUAAUUAUAAUUUAAAAUAUGAUAUAUAUUAAUUUUUUUAAUUGAGAUUAAUUCGGAAUAACUCAACAAUGUGGUUUGUGAUUACGGUUAAGCUGUCAUUGUGGCGUUUGGUGCUAAUUUCAUUCCAUUUUAGACAAAUAAAUAAACAAAUUGUAGCUGGCAUGGAAUAAAAACUGCCACUCCAAUCAAAUAAAAAUAAUUAAUUAAUUAAACAGAAAUUAUCCCUUUAAACAAAGAUAUUUAAUAUAAUAUCAAUAGAGUUUAAUAAAUAUAUUAAUUGAAUUAAAUUGAGUUUUUAAUUUUAAUUAUUUUUUAAUAAUUUUUAAUUAAACUAAUUGAAUCGAUAAAUUGGUGGUAUGAUCAAUUCAACCACUGAUCUAAUUUAAAAGAGGUUGGUUAAAUUCAUUUAUGUUAUAAAAUAAAGAGUGAUGGGGAGAAUAAAGAACAAAUAAAAUAUGAGAGCAACAGAGAAUGAACUUUAUUGAUCAAAAGUGAUGAUUACAAUGCUUCAUCAGAGUCUCUAUUUAUAGGGAUAAGAAGUAUAAAAGAAAUAGAUAUUUAAUUCUAAUAACUAUUUAAAGUAUAUCAAAACUUUAUCUUUAUCAUGAUAGACAUCUACUUAAUAAGAUAUUCAUAACACUCCCCCUUGGAUGUCCAUUAGUAGAUAAUGUGCCUCGUUAAAACCUUAUUAGGAAAAAACCCUGUGGGAUAAAAAAACCUAAUGAAGGAAAAAAAGUACACAAUCUUCUAUUACAAGUUGCCUCGUUAAAAACCUUUACUAGGAAAACCCAAUGGGACAAAACCUUGAUUAAAGGAAAAGAGUACAACUUGUUUUUAGACUCCCCCUGAUGGCAACAUUACAUUACAUCUUUGAGUCGACGCAUUCUAAUCUUGUGUAGUAGUCUUUCAAAUGUUGAAGUUGGCAAUGCCUUAGUAAAAAGAUCUGCUAAAUUCUCACUAGAACGAAUUUUUUGAACAUUUAUAUCACCUAUUUUCUCAAGAUCAUGGGUGAAGAAUAAUUUUGGUGAAAUAUGUUUCGUUCUGUCACUUUUGAUAUAGCCACCCUUCAAUUGAGCUAUACAUGCUGCAUUAUCUUCGUAUAAGAUAGUUGGUAUCUUUUUCCUGUAAAGGCAAAUUACAUACCUUCUGGAUAUGUUGGGUCAAUAACCUUAGUCAAACAUGCUCUCGACUUGCCUCAUGCAUUGCAAUUAUUUCUACAUGAUUUGAAGAAGCAGCAGCUAAUGUUUGCUUUGUUGAACGGCAUGAUAUGGCAGUAUCCCCACAUUUAAAUAAAUAUCCUGUUUGAGAUCGACCUUUAUGUGGAUUCGAUAAGUUUCCAGCAUCAGCAUAGCCAACUAAUAGGGAUUUUGAAUCAUUUGAAUAAAAUAACCUCAUCAAUAGUCCCUUUGAGAUAUUUAAAUAUAUGUUUAAUUCCAUUCCAAUGUCUACGUGUUGGAGAAGAACUGAAUCUUGCUAACAAGUUUAUAGCGAAAGCUAUAUCAGGUUUUGUGUUGUUUGCAAGAUACAUCAAUGCCCCUAUGGCAUUUAAAUAUGGCACUUCAGGACCAAAAAACUCUUCACUAUCCUCGUGAGAACGAAAUUGAUCUUUAUUCACAUCUAACGAUCGUACAAUCAUUGGAGUACUUAAUAGGUGUGCUUUAGCUAUGUAAAAUUUCUUUAAUAUCUUUUCCGUAUAAGUUGAUUGAUGAAUAUGAAUUCCAUCUUUUAAAUGCUUGAUUUGUAAGCCAAGACAAAACUUUGUUUUUCUAAGAUCUUUCAUCUCAAAUUCUUUCUUUAAACAAUUUACUGUAUUUUAGAGCUCUUCAGGAGUUCCAAUAAUAUUUAGAUCAUCAACAUAAACAGCAAUUAUCACAAAAUUUGAUCCAAACCUUUUUAUAAAGACACAUGGACAAAUUGGAUUGUUUUUGUAACCUUCUUUUAACAAGAAUUCACUAAGACGGUUGUACCACAUACGUCCAAAUUGUUUUAAUCCAUAUAAACUUUUCUUUAAUCUGAUCGAACAAUUUUCUCGAGAAACUCUAUAUCCUUUAGGGAUCUUAAAUUCUUCAGAGAUUUUCAUAUAAAUUUCACUAUCAAGUGUGCCAUACAAAUAGGCUAUAACAACAUCCAUUAGAUGUAUGUCGAGUUUUUCACGUACUACCAGACUAAUAAGAUAUCUAAAAGUGAUUGCAUCCACCACAGGAGAAUAUAUCUAUUCAUAAUCAAUGCCGAGCCUUUGUGAAAAUCCUUGUGCUACAAGUUGUGCUUUAUAUCUUACGACUUUAUUUUUUUCAUUUUGUUUUUGCACAAAUACCCAUUUAUAUCCUACCGGCUUUAUACCUUUAAAUGUUUGGACUACAGAUAAAAAACCUCACGUUUAUAAAGUGAAUUUAAUUAUGCUUGAAUUGCAUCUUUCCAUUUUGGUCAAUCUUUUCUAUUUCUACAUUUAUCAAUAGAUUUAGGCUCAGGAUCAUCGUUUUCUUUUUCUACUUCAAUAACAACAUUAUAUGCAAAAUUGUUGUCGACAACUAUAUUUUUCUGAUUCCAUCUUUUCCCCGAAGUAACAUAACUUAUCAAAAUCUCUUCGUUAUCAUCAUUUUCAGGUACCUGAAUCCCUUCUGGGGUUUUAUGAUUAUAAUUAGUUAUAUCUUUGGCCUCUUCUUGGGAAUUUGUCUCUAUUAUAUAAUCACCUUGAGUAUUUGCUCCUUUCCUUUUACGAGGAUUUUUAUCUUUGGAACCAACCAGUAUUUCACAAUUCAGGCAUGGAUUACUUUCUUUUGUACUAACAGUUUUCCCUAUUGGGAUAUCAAUUCGUAUUGGAGAAUUUUUAGCUGGUAUGUGAGAUUUUGUAAUUCUAUUUAAGUCAGUAAAUGAAUCUAGCAAUUGAUUGGCGAUGUUUUGAAAAUGUAUGAUCCUUUUAACUUAUUGUCACAUUGACUUGUACGAGGAUCUAAUUGAGAUAAUGAUGAUCCAUUCCAUGUAAUUUCUUUUACCAGCUAUAUUUUCUCUUCCUCUAAUGUUGGGAAUAUUGUUUCAUUAAAGUGACAAUUAACAAAUCGUGCAGUAAAUAAAUCUCCAGUUAAUGAUUCAACAUACUUAAUUAUAGAAAGAGAUUCAUAACCAACAUAUAUUCCCAACCUCCUCUGAGGACCCAUCUUUGUUCAUUGUGGUGGAGCAAUUGGAACAUAUACCGCACAUCAAAAAAUUCUAAGAUGGGAAAUAUUUGGCUCCUGAACAAAAGCCAAUUGCAAUGGAGAGUAUUUAUUGUAACUUGUUGGCCUGAUGCGCAUAAGUGCUGCUGCAUGUAAAAUAGCAUAUCCCCAAGCUGUAAUAGGGAGCUUUGUUCUCAUAAGUAAUGGCCUAACUAUUAGUUAGAGGCGUUUGAUAAACGAUUCAGCUAAACUGUUUUGUGUGUGAACAUGAGCUACAGGAUGUUCAACUUUUAUCCCAAUUGACAUACAAUAAUCAUUGAAAGCUUGAGAUGUAAACUCACCAACAUUAUUAAGACGGAUAGUUUUUAUUGCAUAAUCUGGAAAUUGUGCUCUUAAUCAAAUUAUUUGAGCAAGUAGUCUCGCAAACGUCACGUUGCGAGUCGAUAAUAAACAUACAUGUGACCAUCUACUAGAUGCAUCUAUUAAUACCAUAAAAUAUCUAAAUGGUCCACAUGGUGGAUGAAUAGGCCCAUAUAUAUAUCACCUUGAAUACGUUCCAGAAAUGCGGGAGAUUCAAUCCCAACUUUAGCUGGUGAUGGUCUAAUAAUCAGUUUACCUUGAGAACAAGCAUCACAACAGAAAUCUUUGAAUUCAAGAAUCUUCUGAUUUUUUAAUGGGUGCCCAAUUGAAUUCUCAAUUAUUUUUCACAUCAUAAUAGAUCUAGGAUGGCCUAGACGGUCAUGCCAAAUAAUAAAAGUAUAUGGUUCUACAAACUUCUGGUUUGUAAUAGAAGUUUGUAAUAACGGGUGUCUCAAUUGCACUAAUAUGUGUAUAAUAUAAACCUGAUGAAAAAGCAGGUAGUCUUUCCAAAACACAUUUCUUUCCACAUUCAACAUUUUUAAUAUAUAGAUAUUCAAUAUUUUUCUCAUUCAUAGUCUCAAUAUGAUAUCCAUUAAUACAAAUAUCUUUAAAACUCAAUAAAUUUUUUUGAGACUUAGUGGAAAAUAAAGCAUCAUCAAUGACAAAUUUUGUACCUUUAGGUAAUAAUAAAAUUGCUCUUCCGGAGCCUUCAAUAAGUUUUGAACUACUCGAGAUUGUAUUAAUAUUAGCAUCACUUAUUGUUAAAUGAGAAAAAUAUUUUUUCUCUUUGAGUAUCGUAUGUGUGGUAGUACUAUCAGUAAGACAUAUGUCUCUAUUGAUUUUGGAUCCAACAAAAUUUUGUUGAUCAUUCAUAUUCUUCAAAAAAAAAUAUAAUAUUAGAAACGUUGCAAAUAUUUAUUGAAUAUGUAUAACUUGCAAAAUAAGUAAAUAAAUAAACUUAUCUUUUGAAUCAAGAAAAUGAACAUAUUUAAAAUAACAUAAUAACACCAACUUAUUCCUUAUGCAAGAAAACGAAACAUACUUAAAAACAAUAUAAAAUGCUAAAAUAACACCAACUCUUCUAAUGAUUCUCAAAGAAAUCUGUCACAUCAAGGUGAGUUAUAUCAUUAAGACCAUGAAUUACAUCACCCUCUUUUUUUUACCUCUAUUUCAUCAUUUUUGGAUAUAAAAUUUGUCUCAAUAUUAAUUUUCUUCCUUUUAAGAGAUGCUUGAUAAAGUUUCACUAAAUGUUUAGGCGUACGAGAGGUACGUGACCAAUGUUCCCUUAUACCAUAUCGGUAACAUAAAUUCUCAAUAACCUUUGAAGAAUUAUUUUGACCAUCUCUUUCUUGUCCUUCAUUGCUAUUCUUUUUCUGGUGGUUAGAAAUACCACUAUUAUAACACCAUGAUAGCGGUUACUAGCACAUUCUCGACCACGUCCCCCACUAUGUCCACGACCACGACCACGAUCGCAACCUUUAUAUUUUUUAUUUCCAUAUUUACUGUGUACUGCAACAUUCACUUCAGGGAGUGGUGCAGUACCAGUGGGACGAAUUCCAUGAUAUUUCAUCAACAACUCAUUAUUUUGUUCAGCCACUAAAAGACAUGAAAUCAAUUCAAAAUAUUUUUUAAAACCUUUUUCACGAUAUUGCUGCUUCAGAGCACAUUAGUAGCAUGAAAGGUUGAAAAGGUUUUCUCUAACCAAUCCUUAUCAAUUAUGUUCUCUCCACAUAAUUUCAUUUGAGAACUUGUAACACCCCUUACCUGUGUCCAACACCGGGACAGGAUACGAGGCAUUACUAACUUAUUCAUAAGCGUACAAACUUUUUUGAGUCGUAAAAAUAUGAAUAAAUUAAAAACCUUUCAAAAUUUCACCUUUACAACUCUAAUGUGGGUCUACAAGGCCCAAAAUAUACUUAGAAACCAAUUCGGGAUCAAUCCGGAUCUCUUAAAGAGCUUUGGAAAUUUUCACUAAAGACAGGGGCACACGCCCGUAUGGGAGGUGACACGCCCGUGUGAUCGGCUUGACAUGGCCUUGUUGGUGACCCGUGUGGCUCACACGGCCUAGUGUCUAUCGGGACAGGCCCGUGUCCCUAGCUCGUGCGGAAUUUAAUUUUUAGUUCAAGGUGCAGUGGUUUUCACACGGCUUGGCACACGCUCGUAUGCCUGGCCUGUGUCUUCCAACAUGGCCUCGACAUGCCUAUGUCUUGGCCCGUGUCCAAAAACUAGGGCAUUCUGUUUCCGACGUCAUCAUAACCAAAAAGUCACACGGCCGAAGCACACACCCGUGUGCCAGUCCGUGUCCUCCAAACGACUGAGACACACAGCUAUGUCUCUGCCCGUAUGGUUAUUACCAUGCAUAUUGACUUGAUAUUUUUACUUACAGGGGACACACGGCCGGACCACACACCCGUAAUUUAAGACUAUUUUCCAAACCUCAUUGCCACCCUUGUUUAUCUAUCUUCAUGCUAUAACCAACCAAUACCAAAACAAGCUAAAUUUUCAUAAUCAAUUCGACCAUAAUAGGCAUUCAUGCAACCAUGAUGAUGCAUCUUCUAUAAACUUAAAAAGGAAUGUUAGCCAUCAUUCAAGGCUUAAUACGAAGUGUGAGAUUUACCCCAAGCCAAUUCAUUUGGUAAAUGCUCAAGACACAAAAUGAUAAAGUCUAGACCCUAUACAUGCCAUACUUUAAAAAUAUAAAUCCAACUAUACCGAGUGUUUCAGAUGAUAGUGUGAUCGAUAUCUCUAACGUCCGAUGAUCCUUAAGCUAAAUAGGCGACACUAUAAGAAAAAUAGAAAGGAAGAGGGAGUAAGCAUAAAAGCUUAGUAAGUUGUAUAUAAAUGAAUAUACAACAACCAUUUCAUCAAUGAUCAACAUAUUUAUGACCCAGAUGUAGACAUAGAUGUAACUUACUCAUUACCAACCAUGCAAGUCACAUAAUACAAUAUGUAUAUUGAGCUCAUAUCUCAUACGUACCAAUAAGGUACCUGUACCAUUCACAACACGGUUAUACUUUCCUCAUUAACUCAAAACAUAACAUCCACCGUUGAACCAUUCGGAGUAUCACCGGAUAUUCAUUAAACCUCGAAUAUGGGUAAGAUGCCGAUGCCAUGUCCUAGACAUGGUCUUACAUUGGCUCAUAUCUCAAGUCGAUCCCAUGUCCUAGACAUGGUCUUACACUGGCUCAUAUCUCAAGUCGAUGCCAUGUCCCAAACAUGGUUUUACAUUGACCAUCAUCUCGUAGUCGAUGCAUGUCCCAGACAUGUCUUACACUAGCUUACAUCUCGAGGCCGAUGCAUGUCCCAGACAUGUCUUACAGUAGCACUCGUCUCAGUGCCGAUGCUAUGUCUCAAAUAUGGUCUUACACUAGCUUCCAUAAUGUGGCCGAUGCAUGUCCCAGACAUGUCUUACACUAGCACACACAAGUGACCCAAUUAUUGUGGCAUGAAUGUCCGGUCUACUUCCUAAGGUUCUAACGGAAAUUCUAUUAUCUCAAUUAUCAUUAUACAUUCUCAAAUUUUAUAAUCAAUCAAUUCAUGCUAUAUCGAUUCAAUGACAAUUCAAACACAUAUAUCAACAACAUAAUUGUAUUAUUUACAUACAACUUACCUCGGAUUACAAAAUGCACAUGACUAGUCGGUUUGCUUGGCUUUCCCCCGGUCAAGGUUAGGAUUUGACAACUCUUGAUCUAUAAUAGUAAAAUGCACUCAUUUAGUUACUAAUCACAAUUAAGUAAUAAAAAAUUCACAUCCUUGGUAAAAUGACCAUUUUGCCCCUAAGCUCGAAAAUCUAUUUUUAUAGAAUUUCUUCGUAUCUUAAGCCUAGCCGAACCCUUUUUACUCUUAUAGUAACUUCAAAAUCUCACUAUUUCAUAUAUUUAUCCCUUAAUUCACAACUUAUGCAAAAUAGUCAAUUUGGGUGUUUUUAUGCUAACACCUCUCACAAAAGUUGUUUAAGACUCUUCUAAGACUCAUAUUCUUCCAUAAAAUUUCAGAAAAUAAAAUGAACAUUUACAUAGUGAAACCUAUACUUAUUACUAUUUUGCAAAAUAGUCCUCUCAUUUGAAAGCCUAUGACAUAAGCAUGCCAAAAAUGUAAAAAUUAUCAAGAAAAUCAUCAAGAUCACUUACAUUAUGAGAGGAAUAAAUUGCUGUAAAUUUUUAGUUUUCAAACUCCAUAUUUACUGAUAUUUUCGGUGGAGAGAAGAGAUGGAGAAGAAGAAAAAUGCUAGAUAGGCCUUAGGCAUUAUUUUAUCACCAAAUCAUGAAUCACUUACCUAAACUUUGACUAUUUUUUUAAAAUUCAUCUCAUGGCCGGCCAAGCUACUCCCUAAGGGUCUAUUUGCCCUUUAAAUACCCCAAAUUUAAUUCAUAUAGCUAAUUGACACAUUUGGGCACUAGUUUGCAACUUUUGCCUUUUAUGCGAUUUAGUCCUUUUUCGCAAUUGAGCAAGCCAUCGCUAAAAUUAAUUCACCAAAUUUUCCAUACACUAAUAUUAACAUGCUAUGACCCCAAAAUAAUAAUAAAAUAAUUUAUCCAACUCUGGAUUUGUGGUCCCGAGACCACUAUUCCGACUAGGCCCUAAGUCGGGAUGUUACAAAACUAAUUUUGAAAAGUUCUAAAUUGUAUUCACUUACAGUUUUAAAAUCUUGCAGUCAUAAGUGCAUCCAAUCAUAACGAGCUUUAGGGAGGAUCACUGUUUUCUAAUGGUCAAAUCUUUCUUUCAAAUUUUUCCACAACUCAAGAGGGUCUUUUACAGUGAGAUAUUCCACUUUUAAUCCUUCAUGUAGAUGAUGAAGGAUGAAAAUCAUUGCUAUUACCUUAUCUUGGUUAGAUGCUUCUUUAUUUUCUACUAUAGUAUUCCCUAGACCUUUAGCAUCUAGGUGAAUUUCAGCAUCUAAAACCCAUGACAAAUAAUUUUUGCCUAAAAUGUUUAGGGCGGCAAAUUCAAGUUUGGCAAGAUUUGACAUUAUAAUCAUUAAAAAAACCACUUAAGUCGAUAUAGAAAUUAAAUUUGAUUCUUUUCAAGAUUUUUAAGUAAAUCACUGCACAAGUUUGAACCCCUCUUUUUUCGUCAAUUUUUGGGUAGCCAAUCAACCAAUUUGAAUGCUAAGUGAGAAAAAUAAUGAAAGCAAUUCAACGGGGGAUUAGAAAAAGAUAUAAAGCAAUUGAGGUAUGGGUUAUCAAAUGAAAAAUAAGAAUGAGACGGGUUUAGAAAAAAAAAUUGAGAAACGUGCUGAUAACGUGUUAUAAAAUAAAGAGAGAUUGGGAGAAUAAAGAACAAAUAAAAUAUAAAAGCAACAGAGAAUUAACUUUAUUGAUAAAAAAAGGAUGAUUACAAUGCUUCAUCAGAUCUCUAUUUAUAGGGAUAAGAAGUAUAAAAGAAAUAGAGAUCUAAUUCUAAUAACUAUUUAAAGUAUAUCAAAACUUUAUCUUUAUCAUGAUGGAUAUCCACCUAAUAAGAUAUUCAUAACAAUUUAUUAUAUUAUCUCAUUUUUCUUUUUAUUUUCUCAUGCUUUCAUUUUGACAAUAUGAAAAAAACCCAAAAAUUCAUACCUCUUCUUCUCAAAUUUUAAUUUAGAAUUUGAAAAAAGGAAAAGAAAACAAUACUAUAUCGGAUGUUGAUUAACAUUUAACUACCUUAAUCUCACUAUUAAUUUUUAGUUUAAAAAUUAGAUGACAUUUUUAUAAUGUAGUUGUGUAAUUAAUGCUUCAAGACUAAGGUAAAGUUAGAAACGGAAUUAAAUUGUACAUUUUUACGAUAGUAAAAAUAUAAUUUUACUAUUUUAAUAGUUUAUCUUUAUAAUUUUUAAAUGAUUAAAUCAAUUUUUUACGAUUUUGAGAGGUAAUGUACAAUUUUACCAUUAUUUAUUUAAAAUUUUAUAAAUUAAGAGUCUAAAUAAAAAAAAUUCCAUUUUAAAUGAGACUGGGGCCCCUAUCAUCCCAUGGUUUCUCCACUAUUGGUAGAGGUAUUCAUGGGUCUGGUUGGGCCUAAGUAUGAUAUUAACAUACUUUACACUUACCCAUGUCUGACCCGACUUGAAAUAUGAGCGUAAAAUUUUGUCCAAGGCCUCUCAUAUUUACAAAAGACUAACCCAAAUUCACUUUAGGCUUGUCUAUAUUAUUUUUAAAAUUUUAAUAAAUACAUUUAUUUUAAUAUUAUUUUAUUUUUUAUUUAUCGAAAGUUUUUAUAUAGUUAUCUUAACAUAUUUAGUAUAGGUUUAUUUUUUAAUGUAUUCUAAAUUACAUAAUAUAUAAAAAUAACAUAAUAUAAAAUAUUAUAAACUUUAAAACGGGUCAAGUCGGGCUCGGGCCUUGAAUUUCAAGCUUGAGUCCGGCCCAUAUUUUAAAUGAGCUUAGAUAUUUUUGGCAAAACCUAUUUUUCAGGUCUAAUAUUUUUAUCCAAAUCAUCCCAAAUUUCGAAUAGACCUUCAAUCCUGAACGAAUAACCCGAUACAUGAACAAGUUCAGAUACUAAAAAAUUAAAAAUAUUAUGACACCGGAAAGAAGUAGUCUUCAUUUUCUAUAAAACAAGAAAUCUACCUGAAUUCUAAGACCUUAAAAUCCAAUUAUCCAACCCUUGUUUGUUAAAAAAAAAAAGAAGUCUUAAUUUUCUAAAAAUACAUGCAAUGAAACGGCACUAACAAAUCUUAUGAUCCAUGACGGAAGAACCCAUUAUUGUCAAAUGUGAAAUUUUCAUCAAAUUGGAAUCAGUGAAUUACCAAAUGGGAAAUAAUCCAAUCCAAAAGUAGGCGAACUCGUUGCUGAAGUAAUCAUAGCAAUACAAACCUUAACUAAUCCGAUCAUGAAAAUCAAAUUUGAAGAAGAAUAUGAGGUUUGGAUUUCUGAGGUUUUUUUUUAACUAUUAUUUUUUCUUUUAUUUUGAUAAAUAAUUAAUAUUAAAUAAAUUAUAUUUUAGUCCUUUAAAGUGGCAUGCAAUAUUUAUGAUAAUGUAAAUUAUGCCAUGUGAUAUUUAAUGAUUGGUCCAUAUGUAAAAAAGAAAAAGACCAUAUAAGAUGUCUGUUAAAGUUUGCAAUCAGACUAAAAUGAAUAAAUUGUGUAACAUGCGUACUUAAAUUAUAAAUUUUUUAUUUUAAGUGUCUAAAAUUAAAGUUUUUAAUAAUUGAAGGACUAUUUAUGGAGUUUACCUUUCUUUUUCGUUUAUCCUUUCCCCAGUGGUUGGAUUACGUAUUUUUCUGAGAUCUUUUUCUUUCCAAUUAAAAAGUUUCUUAACAGAAUGACAGAAAUACCCAUUUUCAUUCCACGACGUGACAUCCAGGUCCCUACUUCAGUACAAAUAUAUUGACCCAACCUAAUUAUGCGCUGAGCUCGUAGUAAGUUCCUUUUUCUUUCUUUUUCUUACUUUUCUUCCUGCCCUUUGCAUGUUCGAGAAAAACCCAAGAAAAAAAAUAUUACUACUACGUAAAACAACAACACUAUCUUUGAAUUUGGAUUUUUUUUUCAUUUCCAAAAAAGAAAAAAAAAUCCAUUUUAGGUUUUUUGUUUCCAGGAUUGAAACUUCUUGUUUUCUUUUUAUUUAUUAUUAUUUAUAGUGAGUGCCCAAUGGGGGAAAGGGUGAUGGUAGCAAGUUUGUCUGCAAGCUUCUCUCUCUCUCUCUCUCUCUCUCUCUCUCUCUCUCUCUCUCUCUCUCUCUCUCUCUCUCUCUCUCUCUAAGUUAAUUUGAUUUUGUAAACUGAAAGAAAAAUUUACGAAAUUAAGUAAAAGAAAAAGGGUUGAGAGAAAAAAAAAAGAAAUUAAUAAACAGAAAACAAGGGAAAUCUGCUGAGGGAUCUUUUAUGUAUAUGUGUUAGUAUAACUACAUGACACCAAAUCAGAGAAGAACACCUUUGUUCACAAUCUGGCAUUUAAAAGCAAGAGAAAGAAACAGUAGCUGAGUUAGUUUUUUCUUACUUUUUCUUUUUCCUCCUCCUCAAACUUCAACUCACCUUGAUUUUAGUUUGUCUUUUAGAUUUUUUUUUUCAUUUUUAGGGCUUUUAUCAAUCAAUUCUACUCAAAAAGCUCAAUAAGCCCUUUUCUCAGCUUUUUCAGAUAAGAUUUCAGUGUGGGGUUGUUGUUAGAUUAUGGGUUUUCAAGAGAGGAGAUAGUAGAUGAUUUAUAGCUGAGAAAAAUAAAGAGGAAUAAUUACUUGAAGCAAACGAAGUAAAGAAAAAAAAAAAGGGUUUUGCUUAGAGAUGGCUGCAUCUUCCUCGUUAGGACCUUUUGGAAUUAGAGAAGAGGACCAACACCAGCAUUCUACAGCAGCACCAACUUCAGCUAUGGGGCCAGCUCCACCGCCGCCUCAGAGGAAAAAGAGAAACCAACCAGUCCGACCAAGCAAGUAUCCGCAUUUUAUGUAUAAUUAGAUUCUACUAGUAAACCCAGCUAUUUGUAUACCAAUAAUUCAAGUGAAGGAUCAAAGUUCCUUAUAUGGAUAUGAAACCCUAAAUUCCAAGAGCAUUUUUUUAAGUGGAAUGACAAGGGGUGAAUGUGUUUCCUGUUUUCUUUUAAUAUUCUCCAAUUAUCAUCCAAAAACUUUUUUCAUCCUUAUUGCAAUUAAUCAAAUUUGAAUAUGAUUACAGAUCCAGAUGUGGAAGUGAUAGCACUGUCUCCCAAGAGCCUAAUGGCAACAAACAGGUUUAUUUGUGAGGUAUGCAACAAAGGGUUCCAAAGGGAGCAAAACUUACAGCUUCACAGAAGAGGACAUAAUCUCCCUUGGAAGCUUAGACAGAAGACUACAAAAGAAGUGAAGAGGAAGGUUUAUCUCUGCCCUGAACCCACAUGCGUCCACCAUGACCCGUCUAGGGCACUUGGUGACCUUACAGGCAUCAAAAAGCAUUACUCGAGGAAACAUGGUGAGAAGAAAUGGAAGUGCGAGAAGUGUUCUAAGAGGUAUGCCGUGCAAUCUGACUGGAAAGCUCAUUCAAAGACCUGUGGAACUCGAGAGUACAGAUGUGACUGUGGUACUCUCUUCUCAAGGUUAGUUAAUAAUACAGAAAAAAAAUACUUACUAUCUAUGUUCUAUUACAUAUCAUCAUCCAUUCACCAUUUUCUCUUGUUUUGUUCAUUCCAAAGUAUCGAUAGCUUCUGUGAGAAAAAAAAAAAAACAGUUUCAUCUUUUGUUUUUCCUAGGAACCACCGCCCCUUCUUUGUUUUACAUUUUAUUUCUCCCUCUUAUUCACGUGCUGCUAUGCCAUGUGUAGAGUUUACAGUGUUGUUGUUACCAUUUUUGUUAUGUUGUGGGUUAGCUAGACUUGUUGAGGUUUUUGGUUUCAUGAUAAUUUAGCCUCUAAACUCUAAAAAAGAAAAAAAAAACUUGAGCUUGAGAGGCUUGAUCGAUUUAGGAAUUUGGCAUCUUGAUUUAUCGUCUUUCACUUGGUUGAAUACAUUCUCUUGGGUAGUUCGUCCAAGUUUUGUUGACAUUCUUUUGACUUGUUUAGGGUUCACUACACAUUUUCUUUUGAACCCUAAUACUUCAAAGGCAAAGUAUGACUUAUGGCACUUCAUUCAAAAGCUUUGUUGGUCCAAUGUAGCAAACGGCAGCUUUUCAACGUUACACAUCUUCAUUUUCUUAUCCUUGCAUUUUUUGGGGUAGAAUAAUAUCUCAGCAAUACGAGACAAACAGAAAAUGAUAGGGAGAAAAAUGAAAUGUAAUUAAUCAAAUUACCUGACAACUUAAGGUGUCCAUUUAGGUAGCUAGUUGUAUGUGCCUAAGAUCCUUUCCACAAACUAACUUUCAAAAUCUUAUAAUUUGAUGUAUUGAACAUAGCAGACAUGAGUUGCUGUUUAAACUUUGUAUUGAACUCCAAUCUCAACCCGUGUCCUUUGUUUUGUUUAUCUUGUACUAUCUGUAUAUCAACAGGUUAUGUAAUUGAUUCCUCCUAUUAUAACUGUUGCAGGCGUGACAGUUUCAUCACACAUAGGGCAUUUUGUGAUGCACUGGCUCAGGAAAAUGCAAGGCAACCUCCUUCCUUCAACUCCAUUGGCAACCAUUUAUAUGGAAGUACUAGUAAUAUUUGCUUAGGGUUAUCUCAAGUGGGAACUCAAAUGUCAUCAGUACAAGACCAGGCUAAUAAUAACAGUGGUGGCCGUGACAUUUUUAAACUUGGAGGUGUUGCCAGGAGUACCCAAUUUGAUCAUCUUUUACUCUCUCCAUCAAUGGGGUCAUCAUCAUCAUCAUCUUUUCGACCCCAACAAUCCAUUGUUUCUUCAGCUGCUUUCUUCAUGCCUGAGUCUAAUCAAGAGCAUCAUCCUCAACAAGGGAUUUUGGGAAACAACAAACAGUACCACCAGGGACUAAUGAUGCAGUUUCCUGCAGAUAUCCAAAACAACACAACCAACACUCCUUCACCACCCAGUUUCUUCAAUCUUAGCUUCCUUUCAAAUUGCGGAAACGAUAUCAACCUGGAUGCCAAUCUAACAUCAUCAGGUUUGCUGACCCCUGAACAUUUCGACAAUGAAACUGGAGGCGGUGGUGGUGGGACGAGCGAAGUCUCAGAUCCCUUCUCAAACACUGUAAUGGGAAACCAAAUCACCACUAACAUCCCUUCUGUCUUUGCUCAAAGCAAUAACAUUGCAGUCCAAAUGUCAGCUACCGCAUUGCUCCAAAAAGCUGCUCAAAUGGGUUCAACUUCAAGCUACAAAAACGCCUCUCUUAUGAGAAGCUUUGGUAACUCAAAAUUUGGCGGCACAUUGGGAGAUAGCACCGGGAACAACCUACAUGAACUAAUGAAUUCCAUAGCCGGAGGUCGGUCCAAUACAUAUAGCUUUGGACAUGGACAAGAAAACCCAUAUGCAAAUAGAAGCAGCGUAGAACAAGAAAAGCAUUUAGAGCAGCAGCCGCAAAUUUUGAAUGUUAGUGGUGGUUGUGGGUCAGAUAGAUUGACCAGGGACUUCCUUGGAGUAGGGCAAAUAGUUAGAAGCAUGAGUAUGGGAGGGGUUUCACAAAGGGAGCAACAGCAACAACAAGAAGCGAUGGGGUUAAGCGCCUUGGGUUCAGAGAGAAGUAAUAUUACUGCGCCGACAAAUCACCAAUGUUUAGGAGGAAAUGGGAAUUUUCAGUGAAGAUCAAAGAAGAAAAAACAAGAAAAGGGGUAGGAAUAUGAAGAAAGUACAAAGGUACGUAUAUUAUUAGUGACGUAUUAUAUGAUUAAAAGUUUUUUACUUUUUCAAUUCCAUAGGUAAAUGUGUCUUUGGUUACUGUUUUUGCCUUUUGGAGUUUGGAUUUAUUUUAUUUUAUUUUUGUGUGUGUUCUUUGAAUUCUCUGACAUGUUUUCUUGCAUGAGGCAGUCAUGAGUUGUUUCACAGUAGUAACAGUGCUUAUUUCUUUUGUUUCAUUUCUUGUCUACUAGUUUUUUUUUUUUUUCCUAAAAAAAAUAUGGGCCAGCAGUGUCACGAGUGUUGCUCAUCCACACUCUUAUUAUGUUUUCUACUAACACAUGGGAAAACUAUGGUCUGUUGAACUCUUUUUAUCUUUGCAGUGCAGGUAUUGUUCCAUGGCAAGUCGUAAAGGCUACAGGGGGGAGGGGGAUACAUGAUUAAACCCUGUAUUCUGUUUCUUUACUUCUUCUCUUCAACUGUUAAUUGGGAAUGAGUUUCCUCACCUACAUUAAUCUUUUUUUUCAUAUAUAGUACUUUGAAUGCUCUCUAAAAUCUUUUAUCUUUUUAAAAUUAAUUUCUCGUUUUUCUACCCAUUAAAUUUAAAACUCCAAAUUUUUAUUUAACAAGCGAUUAUAAAAUUUUCGUCUUCCCUCAAAUUCACAUUUGGAAUUGCUGGUAUAUGUAUAUUCCAUUGUGAAGGAAUAAAGUGUUGAUACACUGUGGCAGUCACGGACUAAUUAAAAUCCAGAAAGUGAGAAAAAAAAGACAAGAAUGGGGAGGAAAAGGGCAGAUGAGAAACCCGAUAAUUACCAUAACCAACAAUAAUUCUGGAGGGAUGCCACCUGAUUUACUGAAAUUUUCUGACCCAAUUCUAUCACUCACCUCUAAUUACACAUAUUCCUACCUAAAAUGCCUUGCUGCUGCUUAUGGUUAUAAUUUGGAAAUUUUCAGAUUCCAAUUUUGAAAUCAAUGAGAUAGAUCAUUAAGAGUCCCACCAAUUACAUUUUCUUUUUAUACAAUAUAGAUACAUCUUUAAAACCGUUGGAAAUAUAUUCUAACUAAAAUUUAUAGAAUUUUAAAUUAAUAAUAUUAAAAUUAUACUUUGACUUAAAUCUUUUCAAAAUUAUAAAGAUAUAGACUAUUAAAAUGAUGAGAUUAUAUUUUUAUUAUUGUAAAAAUAUACCCCUAUAUUAAAUCAACAUCUCCCCUUAAAAAUGCAACAUAUUUUACUAUUACACUCAAUAACUAUUAAUAUAAACAACUUGUUAUGAAAAUAUAUAAUUUAUAAAAGAAGUUAUAGAUAACUUUUUACCCUUAAUUUUUAAAAUGAUAAUUAAUUAAUCAGUAAUGGAUGAAAAUAUUUGGUGAAUAUCUGCACUUCCAGAAAGAUGAAAAUAAAUGGAGAAGAGUGCGAUGUAAAGUUGAGCGAAUAAGAAUAUUUUGGUUAUUAAUUAAUUAACACACUGGUUGGGAUUAGGUAUUAGAUGGUCAAAUCAUUUCUUUAUCCAAACUAUAAAUAUAUUGAAAGAAUAAUGUCUCUUCUCUUACUACUAAAUGGAAUAGGAGACAGGCAGGUUUUAUUUUUUUUCAUUUUUUCAUUUAUUUUUUUUGUCAAAUUAUCUUGAAAUUAAUGAAAAAAGUUACAUAUACAUAUUAUAAUAUGUUAACAUUUAAUUAAUUUUUUAAAAUUUAAAAAUUCAAAAAAAAAUGCUGAUAUGCUAUCUAAUUGACAAUUCAUGUGUAUGACACGUUAGGAAAAUUAACAAACAUUUAAUUUUUUUAUUUAUUUUGAGAUGAUUUGACAAAAAAUAAAAAAUUAAAUGUUAAAAGAAGUGAAAAUUUAAAUGAAAGAUUAAAUUAUUAUUUUUUAAAUUAGAGGACCAAAUAAAUCAUUAUACUUAAAAGAUAAUAAUAAAAUUAAUGGAAGUUAGUUUGAUUAUUAUUUUAUUUAUGUAUUGCUAGAAAAGACAUGAAGAAAUUUAGAGCCUGUUCUUCUGUGCUUAAAAAAAGCAUUUCUAGCUCCAAAAGUACUUUUGGAAGAAAAGCUAUUUAGAACAAGUUGUUUUUGGCUGAAAUUUUUGACUUUUCAAAAGUGCUUUUGAAAAGCACUUAUGAAAAUGUGAAGCUAAAAUUUUUAACUUUUCCUAUUUCAAAAGCACUUUUAGUGCUUAAUUACUUUUUCACCCCUCCAAUAAUAUAAUACUUUUCCUUUUUUUUUCUUGGUGCUUAAUUACAAAUUAAUGUGUUAAAAUCAUUAAUUAAAAAUAAAAAAAUAUUUUUUAAAAUACUAAUUACAAAUAUUUAAUGGUUAUAUUUAAAUAUUUAAAAUGUAGUUUAUAUAUUCUAAUUAAAUUUUAUAAGUAAUUAAUAUUUAUUACUUAAAAAUAUUUAAAAUUUAUAUUUCAUAUAUUAAAAUAUUAACAAGUUAUAAUAAUUUUUUUAUAUUCUUACUAUAAUAUAAUAAUAUUACUAAUUUAAAUUUUAUUUAAAUGCAUAUUUGUUACUUGAUAAUAAUAUGUUUAAAAUGGACAUUUUAUUUCUCAAAAAUACUUUUUGACAGCAAUGCUAAACACUCAAAUUUUAAACCAAACUUUUCAAAAGCACUUUUUAAAAGUAUUACCAAAUUAACCCUUAAUAUAAUGAAAUAAUAUUUUCAAGAUUUUUACAAUAAUAAGGUUGCCAAAGUUGAACUAAAAAAUGUAUAACCAAAAUCUAAAAUUUAAAUUCAAAAGAAAAAUCUUCAAAAUUUGAAAGAGAGAAUUGACUAAGUUUGUUUGUUAUUAUUGUGGUUGGUACCACCAUUCGGAACGCCGUAAGUUGGCAGAAGCAUGCAUUGGCAUUUCCACCCGAAGGAAGAAAUGAAAGUAGUUGCUGAAUGUCAAACGCAAAUCCAAUAACAAAACAAACUAUACAAUUAAAACUCACAUCACGUGACAACAAAUUCCUAUCACCAUAAAUUCACAACACGUGAAUCUGGGGAAAUCUAUAAAAAAAAUGUAUGGCGCUGCUACAAGGCACAACUAAAUUAUUGCGUUUUAAUCACUCAAUUUUAAAAAAUUAUAAAAUAUCAUUAAGUUAUUAGAAAGUUUUCAUUUAACUCAUUGAAUUAUUUGUAACUUUUUAUUUAAGUUAUUGGAUUAUUAGUUAUUUUAAAAUUUUGGCUAGUGAGUUCCAAGUGACAAUUAGUACAAUGGAUUACUACUUAUUGACGAAUAGAAAAAUAUACCUUGGAUCUAAGUUGAUUUGACGGUCAAUACUAGAGAUUGAGGAAGAAACUAUUUGGAUUUUGUUUCAUAAAUUUGUGGCAUUUAAAACUAUUUCAUGAAAAAAAUGAAUUGGUAAAGAGAAGGGGAAGAAGAGUUUUCAAUUGGUGCAAGCAAUACCAAUAGAGAAAGUCAUACAAUAAUGAUUUUAAUAUCCCAAUAACUUAAAUGAGAAUUUUUUAAUAAUUCAAUGUCUAUUUUGUAACUUUCUGAAAUUGAGUGAUCAAAACAUAAACUUACUAAUAGUUUAGUAACAUUGGGUGUAAUUUACCCAUAAUAAAAUUGCGGAUUUACUUUUUUUUAUGAUCAAUGUAUCUUUUAUGUGUCUGCUUUACAAUCAAUAAAGAUUAGUUCUCUUAGGGUUUGUGAUUGCCAUUUCAAAGAAUGUUGUCUCCAAUGUUCAAAUUUAAAUUCUCUUUUGGAGUGCAAUGUGUCUUAUCACUAUAUACAAUAGUUGUUGGUUUAAGUUUUACUUUCUCUUAUAAUUAGUGUCUACUUGUAUUAGUUAAAGUCAAUGUUGUUUGAAUCAGAUUGGAUCAGCUAGUUGGAUCGGGGAUCAGUACGAAUUAUUUGAAUUAGGUGAUUGAACUAAUUUUUUUUUAAAUUUUAAUAAUUUAUUUAAUUAAACUAGACAAAUCGAUUAAACCAAUUACGUAACCGAUUUUAUUAAAGUAAAUAUAAUUAAUGUAUCACUUUUUCUUAAAUUCGGUAAAAGUAUGGCAUUGUGAGAAACUUUUCUGAAUGGGCUAAUAAAUACAUCUUAUUCCCUGCUUAUAUAGAGCCAUGGAUCCAUUUAAAAAAGGAAAUGGAGAAAUAUGGAAGUGCAAGCAUAGUUGACCUAAUAUUUCCCCAAGGGGGUAAUCACAAGCAGAAGAAAAAUGGGUACUUAGUUUAAUUAUAUGCAACCUACAAAAAAUUAACUUUGUUCAAAAGAGGUAACUCAAGCAAAUACAAUUGAUUUUAAUUAAUGGUAUUGAUUGUAAUUUUCCUAAUCGCAUCUUCACAAGAAAGUAUAAAAACAAAAUUUGCAUAGGCAUUUGGAAAGGAAUCUAUAUCCAUAUAUAGUGAAUAUGUAGCCUUCCCGUCAAAGUUGAAAUUAAACACAAAAUCCAUAGAAAAUUAUGCUGUAUCUAGCAAAAGCCAUUUCAAGUCUCUUUUUUCAACUUGUCUUGUAGUUUUUCUACAUUAUAAUCACCUAUAAUUAAUUAAUAAGUAAACUUGGGGAAAAGAAGUUAAUGUAAGUAUUUCCUAUUCAUUUACACACUAUUAGCAUCUCGUAUUUAUGCUCAAUAUUUACACAGACAUAAUAGAAAUUGAGGGGCAGUGGAAAUAUCUGAUAAAACGAUGAUGAAUUUAAGAAUGGGUCAAAACUUUUGUGUCAGAGGGAGAAAAGGAUGGGGGAGUUGAUAGUCAUUUUAAGUGAAGCAGAUCCAUAUCCAGCUACGAUGCUUGAUAGAUUUCAAAUUUGGCAUCAGUUCCCAAGUGUGUGAGAAAGAAUGGGAAGCAAAGCAAGUGGGGCUGCCACUAACAUGCACAGCCACAGCUAGCUGUUUGGUGUUAGCAUCCAAGACAAUUAUUCUCUCAUCAUCUGCAAACAUAUAUACCACCACAUCUCUGAAAUUAAUCUGUCAGAGAUAAUGAGAAACUCAUUCAUUAUUUCAAUCUUUGUUCAGAUAUCUGAUCACACACAGUUUUUAUCUUCAAAAUUUUCCAAUAGUUAAUAAUAGGUUAAAGGGUUUUUUACCCUAAUAACAUACAAAAAAUAAUCGUUUAUCUAAAUAAGACUUGUUUUUUAUCAUAAUAUGGAUUUGGUUUAAGGAAUUUGAAAUCGUUGGCCCAAAUGGCGAUUUGGGGUGAAAACGAGGCUCUCUGUCAGAAUUUGACUAGUGGAAGAGGAAUCCAACACAUUAGGAACACAAAUAAGGCGCCAACAUGCGUGAUUUGGGAACCCAAUGCCAAGUCAUGUUGGGGCCAAUGGAGCAAAAGAUCUCUGCUACCUUGGGCCCUGAAACCGACUAGCAAGAUGGCGAUUUGGGGCUUUGAGGCUCCAAGACUAUAAAGAUUCUUUGCUCCCUUAAUCCUGACAUGACUGGGCAAGUAAAUCUCAGAUGAUCCCACCUAUUCUCCUCUAUAAAAAAAAUCUGCAAAUUUUUGGGGCCCUUGGUUGGAUAAAAAAGCCCUAGGUGUUAAAAAAGGUUGUAAUGUUCACUACAAUUUAACCCUAAAGAAACAAAAUUAUUUUUCAAAAACUCUAAAUCACUUAUCAAUUUAACCCUAAAGUUUAAAAUAAGCAAUUUAUUUUCUCAUUAUAUUUUUUUAAUUUGAAUUUAUUAAAAAUUUUAAUUAUUUUUGGGGUAUUUGUGAAAUUUUAUGGAAUAAAUUACUUACAAUUAUUUUUUUGUUUUUUCAAGUUCGAAGUUAGAAGUGGAAAACUCUAGAAAAAAAAAGAUAAGCAAACCUAUAACGUAACUAUAGUAAGGUUUCGGGAUGAUGAAUAGAAAUAUAAAAAAGUUUAAAAAUUGUUAUGUAAGUUUUUUUAUUACAAUAGCAUGAUAGAGUGAUUAUAUUAGUGUUAAUACAAUGUACAACAAGGGAAGAGAGUUAAGAGAAGGUAAGGAGGAGUAGGUGGUGAUGUUGUGGAGGUUGGUUCACCUAAAGAGACGGAGAGCUAGAAAUAAACAAGAGGACAGGUUGAUUGUUGAAGGAGAGGAUAUUUGCUCAGAGUAACUUUGAUGGCUUAAAGGUCAAUCCCUUCUUCAUCGUUGAAAGUGUAUUUAUAGAAAAUGUCCUAUUGUCCACCAACAUAGAAAAUGUCCUAUUGUCCACCAACAUGACGUGGCAGGUUGUUAUGAAGAAGGUUGUCAUCAUGCAAUAUGUGGGGGAUGUGCAUCGCGGGGCUUAUUAUAUUAAGUAUGAGGUUGUUACGCCCAAGUGGGUUCUUGUUGCCUCAAAGGUGUGUUUACAUCUAAAAAGCAAGUGCUUGUCUCAUUUCAAAAGAGCAGAAAGUCUGGUUAGAAAUGCCUAUCUUGCAGGUAGUCCAAAACAUGGAAGGUAGAUACUUCUUUAAUCAGGAUGGAAGGUUGAGCAAUGCACAUUCUCAGGUAAAGUCAAAGGGGUGGUUAACGUCAUCUAUCUUUCUAACACAUGUAUAAGUUGGGGAAAGGUAUAACAAUAGCCCCCCAAGUUGAGCAACAGGUUACAAAAUGGCCUUCUGUGAGACAUUACUUUGCCUAAAUUCUUAAGGACGAAAAAAAUGUUUCUCCUUGUUGGGGAAAAUGAAAAGUUGUCGUAAUUUUUUCAGAAGAUGUGCCAUAAAUGCAAUGUUUAAUUCAACUGUACCAGGGAAACAACAAUGAUUAAGGGUGUCUGUGUUGGAAAAAAUCUGGUUUGAAAACGGUUUUCUUCCAUAGCGAGAAAUUAAAAUUUUAAAAACCGACCCGAUUUGUAAUAUUUAUAACAAUAAACCUUAGACCAAAAUCGUACCUGUAUUUUCAGAUAAGCGAAUCCUUGAUGUUUUUUGGCUUUCAACCAAAUGAUCUUCUUCGCUAUUCUCAUACCACGAAUUGCUUCAAGUGUUGGCUUGAACCAAUUGAAUUGAAACACAAAAUUAGAAAAAGUUUUCUCUCAUUUUAGGGUGAAAACAUAAAUUCUCUCUUUUUUAAUAGAAACCAGUAAAAUUUUGAUUCUGGGAAAAUAUAUUUCAAAGUUAAGAAUAAAUUCUCUCUAUAUUUCGACAGGAUAACAAUCUCUCAAAAGUUGUGUAAAUAACUCUACUAGUGCCAUCUAUUUAUAAGAAGAGAAGGUGGAACUUUUUUCGAGUUGUAGUGGUUUAUUUCAAGUAGAAAAACAAUAUCCUACUUAGUGUAGGGGAGGGGUGGACAUUUUUACCUAGUAUUCCUACUAGGGUUUCUGCCCCCUUCGUGUCCAUGAGGGGUUUUUGGGCCUCUUUUACAUCGGGUCCAAUUAUGAGUACUUCCUAGGCCCUUUUUGACUUAGUACUCUAUAAUGUGAUCCAACUCGAUUCAGUUUUUCUAUUUCCAAAAAUAAACUUUCAUAUUUUUAUAUUAAAUGAUUUUCUCAUCCCAAAUUUACCCUAGUAAAAUUUUUGACAAUUUUACCCCAAUAAAAAUUUGACGAUUUUGUCCCUAGUAAAAUUUUGAGGAAAUUAAUUCAAUAUGUCACAACUCAACAUGUUCACUAUGAACGAAUAAUUUAUUUUUAUUUUCGGGCUUCAAAAAAGUCCAAAAGCAUAAACUCAUUCUUCCAUUAUUUUUUAAAUAAUCCUAUAUAAGAUUGCAAGUUUUCAUUUUCAUUUCCAUUUCUGUUUUUUGAAACCUAUAUUCAUUUCCAAAUGAUUCCGUUUCUCCAUUUCGGAGAAAACUAUAAUCAUUCCUGAAUGUUUUCCAUUUCUCUUUUUCUAUUCAUUCCAUUCAUUUCUAUUCAAACACACAAUUCAUUUCUGGUUUCAACGAGUUAGCGGAGGGAUCGAUUGGACAUAUGAAGUUUUGGCUCAAAUGAUUUAUAACUAAGUUUCGACUUUUCGGCUAUUAAUUAUAAACUCAUCACAAAGUCAUUCCACUAUAGUAUCGUGACUUAACUCUCCCCAACAACAUACCAUUAUGAAAACAACUACUUAAUGCUCGUCCAAUGACCUUGUCAUUAGUGUGUUACCCUCAUAGGAUAUCUUUAAUCUAUUUGAGAUAAUAUCUAUUCUCCCAAUAUGACCUAUUUUAUCUUAUGGUAAUCAUUAUAUCUUCCUUCAUGAAAAGUCAAUCACUAUCAAUUAGUGAUCAAGUCAUCCAUCACAAAGACAGACGACCCGUGACCACAUUUACUUUUCAUCAACCAUGUAAUGCUAAUGAGAGCAUAUCAUUUACCCAUAUUUUGGGCUAUGUAUUCCACUAUUGUAAAUGACGUUACAUACUAUAGAAGUUGUACACCCAACGCACCAGAUUUCGGUUCCUUAUAUAUUUAAACUCAGGAUUUUACUUACAUCAAAGUGUACGAGUCAAGCAUACAUAGUCCACCAUCCACUCAUGAUUUACGUAUGUUACACUAUAAACGUCACAAGUGAAUAAAUCCAUAAAAUAGUUUAGGAUCUAUUUUCUUGGGUCUUGCUCGUUGCACUUUAAUUUAAUCAGUCACAUCUAUGUCUCUAUCUUCUAAGAGUCAUCAGCUCUAAAACCAAGACAAGGAAUCUUUCCAAUUGGACUCGAUAGACGACAUAUUAGUCUUUCAAUUAUUUGCUCAUUCACGAUUAGACUAAGGACAUGUUUAGCUUCGUCUAUUAAUACAAGCUGUCUUUCCAUACUACGAUCCGACCACGUAAUAUCGCUUAGUAGUUAAACAUUAGACAACCAAUGAGCAAUAUUUGCUUCAUUUUUCUUUGUGUGCAAAAACCAUGUGAGGAGAAUUAUAAAAAGUAUAUUAAUGUAAUCAAUGAAUUACAAGUGUAUAUUGACGAAAAUACUAUAAUUAAGGCACUAGAUCCAACAGUUUGACAUGGUGUAUGUGGAAGACACUAUUGGUCAUGGUCUUCAAGACUGAAAUGAUGCAUUUGUAAAGUAUUUUUGAGAAAACUUAUAAAUCCAAACUUUGGUUGUCCCUAAAGUCACUUUUACUUCAUCUGAUUUCCAAGGGUUUUCCUGUGUAUUUUUUCAAUUGCUGCAAGCUUCUCUUCAAUUGCUAGAGUUAAGGGUUUUCUUGUGUUUGUUAAUGGAAUUUCUAUAAAUGUUUUUUUUCCAUUUCCAUCAUAAGGAUCAACUAUGGAUAGGGCUCAGAGAUCUAAAUAUAUAAUAGGAAGAAUGGAUAUGAGGGAUCAACCAUUGAGGGGUAGGUCUUCCACCUCAAAAAAUACGCUAGUCACUAUUGCUCCAAGCUUGAAAGGAGAAAACCCAUAAAAUAAGAGGGUAAAGGAUAAAAUAGUUAUUGUGGUGAAUAUUGAUGCGUCAUUGAGAGCACAAAAAAUAUCCUACCCCUAUAAAAUAACGAAAAGAAUAGUAUAAGGGAAGUAGGGUCAAAUCCUCAAGGAUUAGAUUUGCACAAGUUCUUGUUCCUCGAGAUUUCGGACAGAGUCGUGCCCAAGAAAACCUGCGUACCUGGAAAAAAAUUAAAAAAAUAGAAUUAAAAGUUUGAUUGAAUUGGAAUUGCAUAAAUUUAAAUUAAAAUUGUAAAGAUAAACAGAGUUGAGAAAAGAGAGUUUUUUUUAUGGAGAGAUUCCAGCCUCAGCUCAUCGCGAUCCUCAUUGGGUUCAAUCCUAGGAUUUUAGGUGAUCCUUCUCGAAUAGAAUAAGCCAAUUAUAGUGAAAGAGGACGCUUACGACCACCAGCUCUACUUAGAUUUUAGACUUACAAUUUAGAGGAAUCUAACUCUAGCCAACCGUCACUUUUGUGGGACCGUCUUACAUUAGAUCAUCACUUCUCAAUGGCGAAUGCCUCGCCAUUUUGUCACUUAGGCUCGACAACCACUGAGGCAAUAAGAUAAUAAACCAACUGUGCAACCAUCCCAAAACAUACAAAGCGGCUACCUUUGCACGAGAAACAAUGAACGAUGAAUAUUUGUUGAGAAGGCUAAGCGCGGAUUCUAAGCCUCAUGAACCCUUUUUGGGGAAUCUCGACAACUUUUGGCUAGAUGAAUUUAGUGGCUUAUGUUUUUUGGGAAAAAAGAAAUAAACUUAAUAAAAAUGGAAUUUUAUUGAAUAAAUGAAAGAAACAAAGGCUAAACUUUUUGGGAGAGGGAGCUUUACAGAAAAGAUGGGUCAAUUUGUGUCACUUCAUCCCCUAUUUAUAGUACUUAGAAAAUGUAGUCUAUUCCUAUUUAAAUUUUAAAAGAUAAAUAAAGAUAAAAACUAAAAUUAAAUCUAAAUAAUAAUAUUAGCAAUAAUCCUAAUAUAAUUAAAAUUUAAAUAGAGUUUUGUUUUUAAAAAAUCUCUUCUUUGCACUUUUGUCCCCCAAGUCCACCACACAUUGCAUUUUCAACACACCCAUUUUAUAUUUAAAUUCUCACUUUUAGCCCCCAAAUUUUCUUUUGCCUUCAAUUUAGUCCCUACAAGAUAAAAAACCAUAAAUAGCUCAAAUUAGUAGGAUCAUACUCAAAAUGAAUAUGUAAUUAAUACAUAAAAAUAUGUCAUUUUAGACUAUUACUAAAUUCCUCCUACUUAGCCCAUGCUUGUCCUCAAGUAUGGUUCUUAUCCACUGUGAAACUUAAAUUUUACCAUGAAAGAAAUAUUACCCCAAAGUUUUAUAAAAAUUAUGCAUAAUGCAUAUGAAAAAUAAAGAGAACCUUUAGCUUGCUUUAAGUAAAACUGAAUAAAUAUUCCAAUUAAUACACACAAAAAUCAAAAUCGACUUGGAUUACUUCAUGAAAAUUAGGUAAUUUACAAAACUUACCAAGACAUCCUAUUUGUUUCCACCCGUAGCCCCCAAAUGCAAUUCUUUAUUAUUAUUAUAUACUUUUUUUUCCUUUUUUUCUUAAGAAUAUAUUAAACCUUUUGACGUAAAGAGAGAUGACAGCCAAGCACCCUACCCCAGUUACUCAACCCAACACAUUCCUAAAAAAAAUUUUGUUUAAUUCUGGUUAGCGGAGUUUUACCUAAGACGUCACACAAUCUUUUGUUGCAAAGUAGGACGACAACCCAAGCACCCUACCUCGGUUACUCAAUCAGUCACGUUUUAAGCUGCACUCAUAACCACAAAGGCAUCAAAAUUUAUUGUAAUGAAACAAAGUUUUAAUUUGGAGGACUAGGAAAAACAAUCAAGUGUCAAAAAUAAGUUUCAGAAACUCCCUAACAGUCAUGAACAUAAUUUUAGCAUGCAAUUGUAUUAAGUGUUCUCUUUGCAUUUAUACUUAAUCGAUUUUAAUAUAAGCAAGAUAAGGUUAACUCUAUUAAUCAUAAUAAUUUUAGCCUAAUUUGAAAUAAAACAGUAAAGAUGAAAUCAAACUAGCAAAAUCGUAACUAACUUGGUAGAAAAAAAUCAUGCUCGCAGGUCAAACAGUAGGCAAUUCCUGGUUAAAAUCUUGGGCAUGAAAAGAGGCAGAAUAUUCUAAAAAUAAAUGUGGACAAAAACAAACACAAGGCACCAACAACAAUAAUACAAUAGUAAAAAUAGUAGAUAAAAUGACAGAAAUAAUGAGGAAUGUCUCCCUCUAUUUAAAACACAUUGUUCUCGAUGUGAAAGAAAAAUGAAAACAAAUAUGUGAAAGAAAAAUGUUUUAGAAAAACUCCCCAUGUAGUCACUGUCGUUUAUGCAUAGCUACAAGGAGGAGAACGUUCGAUGUUACGUGGAGGAGAUGAAGGAGGGGAAGGUAUUCGUCGGCUAAGUUGACGUGUUGGGGCGAAGAGAAUCGACACCGGUAAUUGUUGACAACGAAGAAGGGUUCGGCGGUGGCACGGGUUCUAGUCCUAACCAUGGUGGUGAGAAAAAUCAGUGGUGGGGGUGAGGGAGAAGGGAAACGGCGGCUGGAGGGUUAUUUGGGUGAAAAAUGGGGAAAAGUUUAGGGUUUGAAGGUGUAGAAGAAAGAGUGUUUGGCUGUAGGGUGGGUGUUUGGAUGUAGGUUUUGGGUAAGUAUAAAGCAGGGAUGCACUAUUUCUACUUGGAAUAAGGAUAGAAUAAGGGAUGUUUGUAAAAGCAUGCCAAUUCCUGAGUUUUUUCUUCGCCAGUUUACCUAGACAGAAGAAGAGAAAUUUAUUAAUAUCCAAACAAAAGAAAGUAAUAAAUAAUAAAAUAAAAUAAUAAAUAAAGAAAAAUAAAAAAUUAGGUUGCCUCCCAACAAGAGCUUGUUUAACGUCAUUAGCUUGACGCCUCAACUAGUAUUGGAGUUGUUCCAGCUGAAUUUUUUCAUUCAUAUAGGCUUGAAAAUUCUCAUUUUUUACUACAUCCUCCAUAUUUAGGCUCAAUCAUCCUUGCGCCUCUUGUUUUGGUUUCAUUUUUUCCUCCAAGAAAAUCUUAUGUGUGCCUGUCAAGGGGUUAAUCCCUUUUAAGUCAGUAAUGGUCUCAUCAUUCUUCAAAAAUAUGCAUUUAAGAUGCUCGAGAAGUGAUUUCAAUUCUACAUCUGAUUCCUGCAUAAAAAAAGAUAGAAGUUUAGUGUCUAUAUGAGCCAAUAAUUCAUUAACAUAUUCAUAAAUAGAUCCUGAAUCGAAAUUAUCAUCAAACAAUGUUUCAAGUUUAUCUUCAUAAGGUGACUCAAGACUGUUUACGCUCAAGAUUUCACUAUUUACGCUCAAGAUUUCACUUAUGUUGUCACUAUUUACGCUCAAGAUUUCACUAUUUAUCUUCAUAAGGAUAGAAUAGGUGACUCAAACAAUGUUGUCACUAUUUACGCUCAAGAUUUCACUCGGGUGACUAAUAGCGUCAUAAAUGUUAAACUUCACGAUCUCCCUGUUAAACUCCAUUAUGAGGGUUUUGCUAUGCACGUUAAUCCUAGUAUUUGCAGUACUAAGGAAAGGUCAUCCCAACAAAAUGUCUGAAGACCUAGGACCGUUAUCCUCUUCCAUUUUUAUCAUAUAAAAGUCUGUAGGAAAGAUAAGUCCGUUGACUUUCACUAAUACAUCCUUAAGGGCUUCUUCAGGAUGCACAAUAGACCUAUCUACUAAUUGAAUGAUAACAUGUGUUUUCAUAAAAAAAACCCACGUUAAGUGAUAUAAAAAAAUGUAUUAUAUUUAUGGAGGCUCCUAAAUCACACAUGGCUCUUUUUAUUCCUAAGUGGCCUAUUUUGCAUGGUAUUGCAAACAUGCCCCUAUCUUUGCAUUUUGCUGGCAUCUUCAACUGCAACAUCGUAGAUACAUUUUCACUAACACUUACUCUUUCAUUUCCAGUCAAUUUUUGCUUGUUGGUGCAAAGUUCCCUAAGGAACUUGGCAUAUCGUGAAAUUUGUUUGAUUGCAUCCAACAAUGGUAUAUUAAUCUCGACAUUUUUGAAUGUUUCAAGGAUUUCUUUUUCCUCCUUACUUCUUCGAUAUUGGUUCAAUCAUCUUGGAAACGGAGGUUGAAUUAUGGGAAAUGGAGGUUCGUUUGGACCUGUUCAUCGUUCUCCUACUUUUUCUGGGAAGAAUCUUGAUCAAGAUUUCUGCCAGGAUUUGGUUCCAGUAUUUUUCCACUUUGCAUCGUCACUGCAUUUGCAUGUUGUCUUGGGGUUAGGUUCCAUUUAUGACGAUAGCUUUCCUUGUGAGUUCAUUUUCUUAAUUGAUGUGGUCAACUCUCUUAUAGACGCCUCAGUUUUCUGUUGAAAAUCCUUUGUUUCAUUUUGGAAAUCAAGAGUUUGCCGUUAUAUUUGCUAUUGGAAAUCUACAGUUUGCUGUUGUAUCUGCUAUUGCAAAUCAAGCGUAUUAGCUGUUAAUUUAUUGACCAUGGUUUCUAGAGAGGCAUCUGAAUCUUAUGUUUAUUGUGGAAACCAAUUUUGGUAUGACUAGUUAUACUGCAUGUUUGCCCCAUAACUUAAGUUAGGAUGGUCUUUCCAUCCUAGGUUAUACGUAUUUGCAUAGAGGUCAUAUCGCCUUUGGGACGGUCCAAGAAAGUUCCUCAUAGCAUCUAAAUGGGUCAUAGUAUCGUCAUACAAACUAGGCAUGCAUCAAUUGUAUAUUUGGGUAUUGCACAAAUUCUGCACAAUCAGGCUGGUCCUGUUUUUACUGCAAAAAGAGAAUUCAUGAUAUUAGUAAGUCUAUCAACUUUAUCUUCUAAAGUUGAAUUACUUAGCUAGUGAACCUUUCUAGCGGGUUCAAGAUUGGUUCAGAAUUGUCGAGUAUUUGCAGCCAUUGUAGAGAUCAAGUCCUUUGCUUGUUGGGGAGUUAUGUUGACCAACGUUUCUCCACUUGCGGCAUCUACCAUAUUCAUUUCUAUGGGCUUUAAGCUCUCAUAGAAGUAUUGGAGCAGAGACUGUUCUGUGAUCCCAUGUUGUAGGCAACUUGCGCAUAAUAUCUUGAAUCACUCCCAAUCGUCGUAAAGAGAUUCUAUUUCUUUUUGCCUUAUCCCAAUGAUCUUUGUUCUUAACUCGACUGCACGCGAUGCUGGAAAAAACCUAUUGAAAAAUAAUCGGGAAAGAUUAGUCAAAGUUGUAAUAGAUCCAUGAGGUAGAUAAAACAACCAUUCCCUAGCAAAAUCUGUUAGGGAGAAAGGGAAAGCACGCACUUUGAUUUGAUCCUCAGUUAUGCCCUGAGGUUUCAUACUAAGACAAAUCAUAUGAAACUCCUUUAGAUGUUUGUGGGGAUUUUCGUUUUGCAACCUACGAAAAGUCGGUAGUAAUUGAAUUAAUCCUGACUUCAGUUCAAAAUCAAUAUCCAUAGUAGGAUAUGCAGUGCAUAACGACGGUUGUUCUGCAGGAGCUUUGGCUAUUUGUCGGAUUGUUUGAGCCAUAGGUUAAUGUGCUACAUUCUGGUUUUCGUUAACCCUCGCAUUAAGCACUUUUUCUAGUCGAUCGAUUCUUAUUCUUUCAUUCUCCAAUGUUUGAGUAGGGUUUUCGCUAACCCUAGACUCAACUUUGUCAUCUGCUUCUAUUUCCGGCGGUGGGUUACUCUGAGUCCCUACCACCUCUGACUGCUUUUUACAUAGCUUUGUUUUCUGGCAAUUAGCUUUCGCAGUCUUUUCUAUUUCUAAAUCAAACGUAAGAAUACCUGGAGUAGAUCUGGUCAUAAAAAACAAGAUAAACAAGAUUAGUACAUUACCAGUCCCCAACUAUGACGCCAAAAUUUGAUGCGUCGUUGAGAGCACCAAAAAUAUCCUAUUUCUAUAAAAUAACGAAAAGAAUAGUAUAAGGGAAGUAGAGUCAAAUCCUCAGGGACUGAAUUUGCACAAAUUCCUAUUCCUCGAGAUCCUAGACAGAGUCGUGCCCAAGAAAACCUAUGUACUUGGAAAAAAAAACAGAAUUAAAAGUUUAAUUGAAUUGAAAUUGCGUAAAUUGAAAUUAAAAUUGUAAAGAUAAACAGAGUUGAGAAAAGAGAAUUUUUUUUAUGGAAAGAUUCCAGCCUCCAGUCAUCUCGAUCCUCCUUGGGUUCAAUCCUAGGCUUUUAGGUGAUCCUUCUCAAACAAAAUAAGCCAGUUAUAGUGGAAGAGGACUCCUACUCCACCAGCUCCAUUUAAAUUUUAGACUUACAAUUUAGAGGCACCUAACUCUAGCCAACCGUCACUUUUGUGGGUCCGUCUUACACUAGAUCAUCACUUCGCAAUGGCGAAUGCCACGCCAUUUUGUCUCUUGGGCUCGACAACCACUGAUGCAGUAAGUUAACGAACCGACUGUGCAGCCAUCCCAAAACAUACAAAGCGGCCGCUUUUGCACAAGAUGAAAAGAUCAUUUUUGAAGGGACAUGGAUGGAAGCAUCAGUCUCAUAGUGUGGAGAAACAAUGAAUAUUCGUUGAGAAGGCUAAGCGCGGAUUCCAAGCCUCAUGAACCCUUUUGGGGGAAUCUCGACAACCUUUGGCUAGAUGAAUUUAGUGGCUCAUGCUUUUUGGGAAAAAAGAAAUAAACUUAAUAAAAAAUGAAUUUUAUUGAAUAAAUGAAAGAAACAAAGGCUAAGUUUUUUGAGAGAGGGAGCUUUAUAGAAAAGAUGAGUCAAUUUGUGUCACUCCAUCCCCCAUUUAUAGUACUUCGAAAACGUAGUCUAUUCCUAUUUAAAUUCUAAAAGAUAAAAAAAAUAAAAGCUAAAAUUAAAUCUAAAUAAUAAUCUUAGCAAUAAUCCUAAUAUAAUUAAAAUUUAAAUACAGUCUUGUGUUUAUAAAAUCUUUUCUUUGCACUUUUGCCCCCAAGUCUACCACAUGUUGCAUUUUCGGCACUACUUCUUUCCUAUUUCGCAUGCUAGCCCAUUUUAUCUUUAAAUUCACGCUUUUUACCUCAAAUUUUCUUUUGCCUUCAAUUUAUUCCCUACAAGAUAAAAAAACUAUAAAUAGCUCAAAUUAGUAUGAUCAUACUCAAAAUGAAUAUGUAAUUAAUAUAUAAAAAUAUGUCAUUUUAGAGUAUUAUCAAAUAUAAAUGUACUACUAUUUAGCAACAAACACAGAGGGAAUUGAGGUGUUUGAGGCUCUUUCAAAGUUAUCCUAAAUAUGAUUUUAGUGCUCCAAGAAGGACGCACCAUUUAAGUGUUGUGUUUGGGCUAAAUUAUGGUAGAGGUAGGCCUAGGUUCUAUUUGCCUUUAUACGCAUUGGAAGCAAGCUUUCACUUUCCCUCACAAGCCUUCAUCUAAGAUUUUCUAAAUGUUUAUAAUGUGGCACUUGGGUAGCUAAUUGCCAGUUCUUGGCGACUAAUUAUAAGAUUUAUCAUAUUAUGUGGUCAACAAAAAAUAUAGUCUGAUGGCUUGAUGACUAAUCAUAAGAUUUUUAUAUGGUCUAAUCUUAAAAAUAUCAUGUAGUAAAUGUGUGGUUAUAGUUGCUCCGGCAAUGGUUGUAGCAUAUCGUAACUCGAAUUCAACGACCGAGUUGCGUAAGGGGUGUUAGAAAUUAUAUCUAAACAUUUAUAUAUAUAUGGAAUCAAACACAACAUAAAAUAAAAUAGUAAGUUCUAUAUGAACUUACUUAUUCAAAAUUUGAAAAAAGAGGAUACUUCAGUGACUAAUCCGCAAUUUUAGCUUUUCCUCAAUUAACUUCACUUCGAUCCAAUUCUUGGCCUAUACAAACAUUUUAUAUCACCAAUUAAUACCAAAUAUUUCUACACUAUGCUAUGAUAUGUAUGAUCUUGUAGAAAUUUACUUUUUGAUUUUCCCCAAAUUUUACAUUUCAUUCAAGUUAGUCACUGAACUCUGGAUAAACAUAACUUUCAAUCCUACCUUCGGUUUAGCAUCUGAUUCGAUACUUUGUCAUUAGGGACCCUAUAUUUCCUAUUUCUAACAAAAUUUCAUGAUUAAUUUUACAUUUAUUUAAUUUGAUCCCUAAUAUAACAAAGUUGACAAACAAACUAAAUUAACUUUACAAACUAGUCAUUUUUCAUAAUAUAAGCUUAAAAUCUAUCUAUUUCAAAUCUAAUUCUUUAAGAAAUUAAUAGUGGAAACUUUCUAAAACUUUAACAUGUUUGCAAAUUGAUACAUGGGCUAGCUAAAUCAAGCUCUCAUGACCUCAAAUCCACAAAAAUUACAAGGAAAGAACUUGAAUUUGCUUACCAAUUAAUGAUCGGUUGUUUUAGAAAUUCUUAGGUUUUCUUCCCCCUUUUUGGACGACAAUGGAGAAUAGAUGAAGAAGAUGACUUUGUCAUCCACUAAUUUAACUUAUAUAAUAGGAUUAAUAUUUUAUUAAUUUGGUUUAAUUAACUUAAACAUAACUUAAUUUACUUAAGUUAAUCACUAAACUUAAUUAGUGGAAAAUGUCAUCAUCAUCCACUAAUUCUUAUUGGAAAAUGAUUUAUUUACCAUUUUAGACCUUUGGCUAAUUAUUGUUUUAAUCUCUAAGUCUUUUGUCAAUUAGAAAUCUAUAGUGAUUGAACUUUACGAUUUAGUCUCUGAGCUUUAAUUAGCUAUUAAUCAUAAAAAAAUACCAAACCAAUAUUCGAUAUAUAUUGAUAUUAUCCUUGUAAAUGUUCAUAUUUUGUAUUUAUGGACUCGAUUUAUGAAAAUGGGGUUCUGAAACUAUAUUUUCAGUACCACUGAAAAUCGAGUCGUUUCAUGAACUAUGCUCAUUAUAAUUUUGUUUAUAAUGUGAAGUCCCCUUAUAAGCCAUCAAGGUAAGUUGAGUAUUUUCCUUGAUUACUUACUAAGCAUUGAUGCUUAACGAGCUGUUAUUUCUUACGCAUAGAGUAAUUGUAAAUUACGUGCCAUAUCUGCUUCGAAAGAUUCCAUCACCUUCACAAGUUGAAGAGAAUGUACUAGAGUUUUAGAGUUCAUUUCUUAUCUCUUAUACUUAUUUUGUAAGUUUAAACUUUGCUAUAUUAAGCCAUGAGUAUGUGGAAUUGAUGUUGGAAUAUUAAAUAUGUGGAAUUGAUGUUGGAAUAUUAAAUUUGUUCUGAAUGAGUCCACUAAGUCUUGAUAUGUUUUUUUAAUAUUAUUUUAAUGAAUUUAUGUAUGUGAUAAAUGGAUGUACAUGUUUUAAGGUUGAUUUUCACAAAUGUUAGAUUUGUUUAUAAGAUCGAUUUGUGUUACCAUGUUUGGAGGCAUAUCGAAGGUUUUUAGGGUGUUUUAAACUCGGUUUCUGAGUCUGUUGGUUCAAAGUUUUGAUACCAAACUCAACAGUAUCGAUACAAGUGAGUCAAAGGUUAAAAAUUGCUACAGUUCUAAGGACUUGUAUUGGCAAAACUGGAGAUUUAUGCUGCAACCACAAUGCGUGGCCCAAGUCACUGUAUUAUGUCAAGUUGUUUUGACAUUUAGGAAGCUCGUUUUGGGUCCUGAUGACAUUCGAACCACUUCAAAAUAAUUUUUAAUUAUUUCUAAAGCUUCCAACUUGUUCUAAACAUGUAUUAGUGAUUUUAUAAAAAAAUGUUUUAAAGUUUAAAUUCUUAAAUUAUUCCAAGGUUUUUGUUUGUUCAUACUCCGGUAGCAUUUUUCAUACCAAUCAUAGGAAUGAGCGAGGGGUGUUACGGAAUUACAUUUUUUUUCCUUUCAAUCUUUGGAUCAGGCUUGGACAAGAAUUUUUGCACCUAGACUGACCAACUCAAAUUCAAUUUAUAUAAUAAAAAUAUUUUUAUUAUUUAAAUUUAAUUAUAAAAUAUAUAAAUAUUAAUUAAAUAUUUUUUAAUAUUUUAAUAAUUUCUUAAUAGUAAAAUGAACUUUUUGAACGAAUCGAAUUGACCUAAAAACAAACUUGGACUUAAAUUUUUUUAAAAUCCAACCUUAACCAAUAACUUUAGUGGUAAAUAGUGGAAUGAUGGGCUAUUACCUAUAAUAAGAGAGCAAGUAUCAUUUUUUCUUUUUGAAAAUUUAAAAAUUUAAUGUCGAAGGAUUGUCACCUUGUCAACAAAAGAAGACUUGCUCUUAAGUACACAAUGAUACUCCUCACAAAGUUCUCCUAUGAAUGUGUAUUAAAUUUUUAAUAUCUUGAAUUUUUAUAUAUAUCUGGAAACUUUUAUAUUUUUUGAAUUUUUAAUAUUUUUUAAGUUUAUUAUAUUUUGAAAUUUUAAAUAGUUUUUAAAAUUUUAGAAUUAAGACAAAAUUGAUGCAAUAUGUAAACUUUGAAGGUUAAUUUUUUAGAAUUAAAACUAAAAUGACUGUAAACAGGCCAAUUUGCCCGGGCCGGAAGAAGAACUCAAAAUACAAAAUAAUAAACAAAAAAUGUUAACAGUCCAUUAAAUGUCCAAAAUGAAUGUCCAUUUACUACAUAAACCAAGACCCAAACAAGCCCAAUACCUAAACCUAGACUUAAAUUACAUGCCCGAUAGGCCCAAUAAUUUGAGAACAGGAACCCUAGGGUUUCUUCCCCACUUUUGCGCUGCAACCAGACAGCAGCCCAGCCUCCAUGCGCCUUCAACACCGUACGACUAGCACACAGUCCUCGUACGCCACGCCCUUCGCCUCCGUACGAUGCCAGCGAACUCCGUACCUGCAAGCAAAUACGAAAACAUCAGCACAGCAAAGAAAAAAAACAAGAAACUUGUAUUUUCUUUUUCGUUUUUCUCUGUUUUCGGCUAUAAAAGCCAUGUAAUAGUCUAGGUCUUUUUUUACGCAAUACGAACACACGCACAUUUACGCAUACAGAAUACAAAAAAGCAACCAAUAUUUAAAGGUGAUUUUUCGAUUUAAAUCUCCGGGCGUUCUUUUUUCGGCUUUAUCCUUUGUUUUUGUUGUUUUUUUUUUACUCGAAGGCAUGAAUAAAAAGAGAGGGAGGGGCUUACCUUGAAAGUACACCGUGGAUCUCCUCUUGCUUAGUUGAAAUCGAAGCCAAGAGGAGAUUGAAAGGCUGAAAAAUGUCCUCUCCAGUCUAAAUGUGUUGGCUGCUGUUAGGGGAAGGAGAAUCGGCAGUUUCAGAGGGGAUUUUGGAUUUGGAAAAGAAGAAAAAAGGGAUAGUGGUUCAGCCGAAUGGGGUGUUCGGUUAGGGGUUUUAAGGGACUAAAAAACGGCACCGUUUAGAUCAAUCAUAAUGGUCUCAAACGACACCGUCUAGGCCAGCCCGUUUCUACCCGACCCGAUCCGGUUCUUCAACCCUCAGGACCCGCGUGUCUUUGCGGUGAAGGGUUAUUUUCGAUAUCAAUCCCUCCCCUUUCGCGCCGCAUUCUAAUCAGCUCAUAUUUGUAUUUCAU